UCUAAACCUAGGUCACUAACAUUUUUUUUCUUAGGUAUUAUUUGAUUCGAGAAUAAGUAAAAAGUGACUAUUUUAGAGAUAGAUAUAAAUUAAGGUAUAUAAGCGGGGAUUAGAUCAAUUUUGUGUUUGGAUAAAAAUUGGGUUAUUUCUGGAAAUAAAAAAAAUAACGUUUGGUUAGAUAAGAUGGAAUAAGAAAGAUAAUAGGUUUUAUAAAUAAAAAAUAAUAAUAUUAUCCUUUUAUUAUAUUUGAAUUUAAAUUUUUAAAAUUUUAAAUAUAUAUUUUUAAAUUUAAAAUUUUAACUUUGAAAUUUCAAAUUUUGAAAUUUAAAAUCUCAAAUUUUAAAUUCAAAAUUUUAAAUUUUAAAUUUCAAACUUUAAAUUUAAGAUCAAAUUUAAAUUUGAAAAAUAUAAAAUAUAAAAUUUUAAAUUUCAAAAUUAAAAUAUCAAAAUUUAAUUUUAAAAUUUAAAAUUUAAAAUUAUAAACUUUAAUUUUGAGAUUAUAAAUUAUAAAUUUUAAAAAUUUAAAUUUUUAAUUUUUAAAAUAAGAAUAGGGAUGGGAACAAUUAAUAAAAAUAAUUUAUUAUAAUAAAUUUAUAAAUUUUUUUAAAAUUCUACUUAAACUUAAAUUUAAUAAAAAGAAUUUAUUAUAAUAUUUAAAUAUAAUUUACUAUAAAUUUUAUUAUAAUAUUUAAAUAUAAAUAAUAUGUAUUAAUAUAGUACAAUUAAUAAUUUUAUAAUAAAAUAAUGUAUUAUAAUAUAUAACAUAAUAUAUUUAUAUAAUUUAGUUUUAAUUCAAUUUAUAAUUUUAAUUAAGUUUGAAAUUAAGUAUUGAAGUAGUGCUAUUCCACCAAAAUGGUGGAAUAGCAAAUCCCUUGUUAUUCCGGAAUAACCAGGAAUAGCAAGAUUUGAUCGGAAUAAAAUAUUCCAACUAAAUUUCAUCCCGUUUGGCGGAAUAGCGGGGAUAACUUUCGUUAUGCCCGCUUAUCCCCCAACCAUAUAUACUAGACAUUUAUUCUAUCGGGCCUAAUGUCCAACUUUAAUAAUUAAAUCAGGGGAUUUCAUAACCAUUCUGACUAAUUUGGGCUACUGGGCCUAUUAUAUUUGCAGAUCUCAUCCUUACUGUACUUUUAAAAGUUUUUUUUUUGGUUUCCAUUUGGUAAUACUGAUCUCCAGUAGAGCGCAUGACAAAUAAAGUAAUUUUAAAGUUUGUUACCACGAGUGCGCAAACAGAAAUAAAAACGCGGAACGUAAAGUAAGCAAACAACAAAUAGAAAAAAAUAAAUAAAUAUAAAAAUUUACAUGAAAAUUUUUUUGCAGAAAAAAACACUACGGGCCAAGAAGAAAAGAGCUUCACUAUGAAAAAAAGAGUACAAUAUUUUGGAGAUUACAAACGCUGCAUUACGUCUAGGGUAAAAGAGAAAAAGAAAAUUUCUUAGUAGGUUCUUUAUUAUCGGAUCAGAUCUGUACCACGGGGUGCGGAGUCCCCUGCACUCUCCGGUAGAUAUCAGUGGUGGGUUAUGAGCUCAAACCACCAUACACACCCAUUUUUUUUUCACAAUUCACUUUUUCUAAAAAUCUAUUCGCACCACGGAAUUGUCACCAAAUCGGGAGUCCAAAAUCAAAAUCGAUAACCAAAUUUCGAGACAUCUCUAACAAGUUCUUGCUACACAUGAAGCAAUAAUUAGAUUCUAAGACUUAGUUGCUAAAAUUCUAAUUAGGUACUUUUCCUAUGCAGAUUGCACAACACUGCAUCUCAUCAUAGACCAAAUAAGCUCUUAGUGUGCUCCAGUAAUCUCGAGCCGCAUUCAUAGUUACAUUAGAAUUCUUCGAUUUUUUUUUUUUAGUUAAUUGCAUACAACUCCUUAUAAAUAUAGCGGAUUGUAAAUAUAUUCCUACAAAAUUCAACUUUUUUAUGUUAUUUCUGAAAAAAUUCUAAUAUUUUUAAAUAUGCCUAUACUGUUAGGAUCCGCUAAAAAAAUUUAGUUAACUAUAGUUAAAAUACUUAAUCUUAUUUAAUCAAGGAGAUAAAUUGAUAUUUUUAUCCUUCUUAUAGUAUAUAUUCUUCUCUCAAUCAAAACUCUAAUAUUGAAAACUCUUCUUCCUCUUCCUCGUUCUCUCUUCCCUUCGUACUAGUUUCGAACUUGUAAGUAGAAUUUCUCCGUCUUCAUUUAUCUACGAUGCGUGUUGUUUCGCCUAUGUCAAAUGCUUAUUGCUUCUUCAUUCAAUUUACUCUAUAGUUUUUUUUUUCUUAUUUUGCUCAAAAAAGGAUUUUUAAAAGAAAAAGUGAGUGAAGAGAUUAAAAUAAUGGUGAAUUGAGUUGGGUUUAAAAAGGACAAAGAUGAUAAUUGAAAAUUUUGUUGGGAGAUAUUUCUACACAAUCAUAGUAAUUGAGGCUUUUGGAAGAAUAUAUAUGCAUGUGAUGACAAAAUUAACAAUUUUACUUAUCUGUUGUUAAAAAAUAAACAACGCUUUAAAAUUAACAAACCAAAAGGACACCGACUAUCCCUAGCGCAAGUGGCAAAGGGCUUCUUGGUUGGUACCCAAGAUCCAAGUUCGAAUCCUAAUUGAUUCACAUUUCCAACUAAGUUUAUUUCUAAAUGAAAUAAACGAAGUUAAACUUUAUAAAAAUAUAUUUAUAAUUUACUAUAUUUAUAGUGCAGUUAACCCUUCUUUUUUUUUUUUUUGACUGUACAAUUAUUUUGCAAAAUUUACAAAUGUUCUCGCUGGGGAGGAGACGUCGCAUUCUUCUCCAGCCUUGUAUGUCACUAGUUGUCCCUUUGUCCCUUCUCAGUGCAAAGCUAAAGCUUCAUGAUGCCCUCUCCUUUAUGAGCUCACCAUGUAGGUGGACACUGUUGAGCCACUACUUUAACAUGGAAAAAUAUCAGAGGCGCCAUUAAUUGAUCUUCUUUUGGUGAAGAAGACACGUAAAAAACCUGAGGUGGGGGAGUUUCUAAAUUUUAACCUGCGCUCUUUAUCAUUGACCGCUCAAUUUUUAUUCACUACUUAUAACAGUUAACACCAGUGGUAGUUUUGGUGAAACUUGGUACUAUUCUCCUCUACGGGCCAAUUCGUACUGUGUUCAGUGUGUUGGCGCGCAUCGAAAAGAAUAUACCUUUUUAUACCUUUUUACUCGAUAUAUUUGUUGAUACUUUUCUUCUCCAUAGGCCAAUUUGUACUGUGUUGGUGCAUAUCGGAAAGAAUAAAUAUCUUUCUAUGAUAAUUGUACGUGCAAAUGUACGUAAUAAUUAUUUUACUUUAUUUAAAAUUAAUAUAAACUUAUAUAAUUUAUUUAUUUAAAAAUUUGCAAUAAAAAUUAUUAUUUUAAAAAUUUAUAUGUUACAUUUUAUUAAAAAAAAGUUGUAAUAUUUUUUUAUAUUUUUCGAUUUCUAAUGAAUCCAAAUUUUAAGUAUGUGUUUUAAACUAAAAGCAUCAAGAUUUAAAUGACAUUUAUUUCAAAUUUUAAAAUUAAAUUUGGAUCCAAUAUAUAUAAUUAAAUAUUUUUAAUUGUUAAUUCAAAUUUUAUAUCAAAAAUUAAAUUUAAUUUAUGAUUUAAACUCAAAUUUUAAUUUUAAUAUAAAAUAGAUGAUCAUAACUGUUCGGUCUUAUUUGAAAUAUUUUUUAAUAAAUUGAUCAUAACCAUUCUUAGGGAAUAUUCUUUUAUUGCUUUUUUAUUCAGUCUGUCAUUACUAUACGCUUUUAUAUAUAGUAAGUAUAGAUUUAUUGACAGAUGGAUAAAAAUGUACUUGAAAAUAUGUAGAAUUUAAUACGAAUAUUAGUACAUUUUUGGCGCAUAUUAUUGAUAAAAAAGUACAGAACUUAUCUGAAAUAUAGGUUAUUUUGAAUUGGCUAUCCAACCUUAAUUUCAAAAUUUUAAUUUUACUAUCCAACCUUUCAAUUUAUUUAAUUUGAGCUAGCAAAUGACAUUUUCAUUUCAAAUUUUGAGUACAUCAUGUAUCUUAGAGUUGUAGUUAGUAUACAUAGUUUAUACACUCGCAAUUAUAAAUUCAUAAAAGUAAGUAAUUGGUUUACAUUUCAAAAUCAAAGUAUGAUGAACUUGACUCCUAUAAAUUGAAAGAUUAGAUAAUAAAAUCAAAAUUUUGAAAAAAUAGAUAAUUGAUCAAAAUGAUUUAUAGUUCAAAUAAGUUAUAUAUGUUUUUAUCUAUAUAUAUAUAUAUAUAUAUAUAUAAAUUUAAUUUUGCUAUAUAAUCCUAAAGUAGUUUGUAAAUAGGUAUCUAAAUAAAUAUAUAGAUAUAGAACUAUGCUCCUAUACUAUUGACUUGGUGUUAUUAGGUUUUCGGUCUUUAGAUGAAGGGAUAUACUGCUAGGCUUAUAAUAGUCUCCUAGUAUUGAGUGGGCGGUUGGUUAAAUAGUAUAAUUUAAUUGGUGAAAAUGGUCAAAAAAAUAAAUGUAAUGGCGAAAAAUUUGAUAGAGCGCGCCAACUGUUUGAUAAUAUCGGUAGUAUAGUAACCGUACUCUAUAGGCGAUAUAUAUUUGAGCAGAGCACUCAAAAGCUACACCUGCACUCAAAUAAGUGUACACUCAUGGGAAUAAAAAUUUAGCAAAAAUAUAUGGAGAUUCCCUCGCCUAUAGAAAAUUAUGAAACAGCCCUCUCAAUUUUAACGAUUUUCAUUGCCACCUCCUAAACUUUCAAUUCUUUUUAUUUGUUAUCUAAUUAGUUAAGUUAUAAUUGUUGUUGAAAUUUAAUAACUCUAUGAGCUAUAAAUUGUUAAUUAUUUUUUACUUUAUUUGCUUAAAACCGAUCAAAAUUAUUAAAGUUAACAGAACCUAUAAUCUAUUUGAUAACAUGUUCUCAAUUACAACAAAUCUUAGGUUGAGAGGAUGUUGAUCCAAAAAAUUAAAAUGAAAGGGCUACUUCAAAAUGGCUUGUAGGUGGGAAAAAAAAAUCGAAUCGGAUAUGAAUGGGGAUAAUGCUCAAUUCAUAUUCAUAUGUACAUUCUUUUCAUCGGAUUCGGAGACCGGAUAAUAUCCGAUCCACUUUGAUCUACUUAGGGCAUGUUUGGUUCAUAAUGAAAAUAGAAAUAGAAAAUGCAAUUGAAUUGCAUUGAAAUUAAAAUCAAGUUACUGAUGAUUGUCUAACGUACGAGACGAAGAAUGUAAUGAUUGAUAUACGAGGUUUUAAGUUUGCAGCGUGGUUCAUUAUAUUUCCGACCCAAGUUAUUGCUAUAUGAACAUAACCUUUUUUUUCCUUUAGAAAAGUGGAUACACUGAGGCUUCAUUUAUCAUAGUUACUUUCUUAUUUGUUAAAUAAAAUUUUUAUAUAAAAUAGUAUAAGAAAUAAUGAUGGAUUACUUGUAAUUUUUAUGUCUAAGGUGUUUAUUUCACAAUAAGAAAUAAUUAUUUGAAAAUAGUUUCUUUUAGCUUCCCAUUUUUUUUUUGAACAAGUUGUUUAUUCAUCGUUGGACCGAAAUGCUAAGCAUUGCAAGCUAAUAGACAAUAAUAACAAAAAAAAAAAGAAGAAGAGAAUGGUCUAUACUUUAAAUUAUAAUAUCUACGAUCAAGUUUUUAAUUCUUGGAUAUAUGUAAUUUACUACUCGGAGUCUUAAAUUUAAUAAUAAAUAAAAUUUAUUUAUUAUCGUAGCAAAGAUGAACUCCAACUCCGCAACUUUUAGUCGAUCGCCUUUAGAAAAUCUCAAAGGGCCACUUCACCUACUCACAAAAUAAGUAAAUAAAUAAAUAAAUUUGAAGAUGAUUCCAUCCGCGUAGGAUGGCUAUGGACGUAUGCGCUUCGUGGUCAAAUCAUCCUACUCAUCCUCUCCAAAAAGCUUACACAAAGACAAAGAAUUUUAGGUGGAGAGAGUUACAAAGCACUCCAUCCUUUACCCAUAUUAUCCAAUCACCUUGACUUGGACGUAAUGGCCAAGCUGUUGAUGUUGAAUGCUACAUAUCUCCGCUUUCCAAUAGAAAAAAUAUUUUGUAUUUUUUUGAAAUAUUAUUAUUCUUAAUUAUAGUUUCAUAAUCUAAUUAUAAAUUUGUCAUUUAAAAAAAAAAUAAAAAAUGUUGGUACAUUAGCACAGUAAUUAAUAGUGCUGUUCGAGAUAAAAAGCAAUCUACUACACUCCACUGAAUCCAUGAUUGAUAAUUUGAUAUUGGACGCGCAGUAAUAAGUUCAUGGCGUGGUGGAGAUUCAAUGAUUGGAUCCGUAUAGCACUAGCUAGUGUAAGAUUCAACUAUCCAAAGUUGAAUGCUUUAAUUUAUGCUAAAAAGUCAUAUAAAUAUAUAUAUAUAUAUAUAUAUCUGCGUAAGCAAUAUUAUUGCUCCUUGAAGCUCAAUUAUAUUUUUAGAAUUAAUGUUCAUUGAUAAGUCGGAAUUAUAUACACAGCUUGUGAUUGACAAUUAAUGUUUAAAAAGUCGAUGUUUUGAGAAUAUUAAUUCUAGAAGAUAAGUUUGAAAAACCGGCGGACCAAUAGCUGUCGUCAUGGUAGGUCAUACGACUAUUUUGAAGAAUGUAUUUAUGCAAAAAGAAGGAAAAAAAAAGAAAAAGAAAAUAUUCACUACUUUGGCAAAGCCAUAAAUUAAGCUAAUGCUUAUGUAAACAUUGUAGACGUAUGACCAAACACUUCAUUAUUUCAUACAGUUACUCCCAACUUCAAAGGUGAGCAUCAAGAUGAGCCUAAAGAACUCAAACACCUAAGUAAUUGAAAUUUUUGUACUUCAAAAUUCACUUUUGCGACGCCAAAAUAUCAAUCGGAAAACCAAUAAGAACAAGAAUUGGAGAUACUAAUUAAUAUAGUAUAUAGAUAUGUAUAAUCAUAAACAACAGAUAAGAUAAAGCCUCAAAAUUUUUGAUGAGAUCGAUGAUCCGCAUGACUCAUACAGAAGCAAAAGUUUACACUCUCUGGAGCACUUAUUUCCAACACAAACAUACAGAAAUCUCAGAGAUCGACAACAACAGCUUAAUUACUUACCAUGCAUCAUCUUUACACACAAUAUAUACACUAAUUAUUUUUUUUUUAAGUUUUACAAGAUGGCGCAUGAGUUCGGGUUCUCCUCGGCGCUCCGGACGAAGUAAUGCGUCGUCAUCGGCGGAUUAUAAGCCCUGUAUUCAUUGACAAGCUCAUAAACAAUUGGUUGGUAAGGAUGAUCUUUCUUUUUCUCAGCUUCUUCCUUCUUAGGCUCUGCUUCCUUUUUGGGCUCCUCCUCCUUCUUGGGCUCCCCCUCCUUCUUGGGCUCUUCUUUUUUGGGCUCCUCCUCCUUCUUGGGCUCUUCCUUCUUGGGCUCUUCUUUCUUGGGCUCCUCCUUCUUGGGCUCAUCCUUCUUCUCUUCGUUCUUCUCGGGCUCCUUCGCCGGCCCCACCGAGACGAUGUUGGUGGGCCAGAAUUUUCGCAGUUUGCUCACGACGUCGACCGGGUCGACCGAUCCGAUCAGCGUCAUCUUCUUCUCCUUCAUGUCCAUUGCAAUGGAAUCAAUCCCUGCGAGAUGAAACAAGUCGCAAUUAUAUAUACAAACAAGCAAUUUUUUCUAUAAAAUAAAUUGUAAUAAUUUUCAUGGUAUAUUUUCUUUUUAUUUGUCAUACGUACCAUGAAGGGUGGAAACGGCCUUCAUUGCCUUCUGUUUGUCCUUGUCAUCAUGCAAAUCCAACUUCACUACUAUUUUCUGUAAGGAAAUGGGAGCAGUUGCUUUCGAAGUUGGUAAAUUUUCAAUGAGGAGAUAAACAAUACGAUUCUCCCAAUAAGAACUCGAGCAAAUAUAGAAAGUGAUGUGUUUGAGAGAGAGAGAGAUACAUAACCUGUACGUCGCAAACUUCUAAGAUAAGAGUAAGGAAUGUGACAUAGCUCAUAGAUGUUUAAUUUUUGGACUUUGCUACAUCGAUCUAAAAGUAAAUAAAUGAAGAACAUGUACGACUACCGACAAUCUCUAGCAGUUUGAUAUAUUAGUGUUCGAAGUCUCGAGUUCGAAAUUUAAUUAUUUUAUAUUUUUACUUAAGUUUAUUUUUUUUAAAAAAAUAAAUAAACUAUCUUAAUUUCUCAACAAAAAAAAAACAAAGUAGAACUAAUUUUUUUUCUUUUUUUCUUUUUUUCAAUUUAGAGCUUGACUCGUGACACUCAUUUUCAGAGUCUUACCACCAGAAAUUCAGUAAUUUCGCUCAGCACAUUCACAAGUAUAUAUGAUCCACAACUGAAAUAUAUGGUGGAAAUUAAUAAAUAUAAUCCGAGCAUGGUAAAGCAAACAUUUAUCAAUGUUCUUAAAAAAGAAAAGCUAAUAAGAUCUUGCUUGCUUUCGAAUGUCUAAAGAGCAAAGAGUAAUUAAGAAACUGCCGUGAUAAAACCAUCAAUAAACAGAUCAACAAAAUGAGAUGAAACUUACGUGAACUGCUAGACUAUGUAACACUAGCUAGGAAUAUAUAUAUUCAUUCUCAUUUAAAGUUGGGAAAAGAGAUGCCUAUAGCCCAAGCCAUAGCCAUUCCUUUAGAAUAGAAUCACUGAUGCAUUGAAAGGAAUCCAAACUAACACCCCACACACACACACACACACACACACACAAAAAACAUCUCACCUUCAUCUGAUCUUAAGAAACUCUUCCCAAAGUGCGUGGUCGAAGAAUGUUUAAAGAGAGAGAGAGAGAGAGAGAGAGAGAAGGGAAAGUGUCUGAGUGUGGGUGUGGGGGAUAAAAAGGAGUGGGUGUAGAGGAGUCGCAAUUUGGUAUGUGGGAAUUAAAGAAAAUAAAAAAUAAAAGAGAGAGAGAGAGAGAGAGAGAGAGAGAGAGNAGUGGGUGUAGAGGAGUCGCAAUUUGGUAUGUGGGUAUUAAAGUAUAUAUAUAUAUAUAUAUAGAGAGAGAGAGAGAGAGAGAGAGAGAGAGAGAGAGAGAGAGAGGUGGGGUGGAGAAACCGCUGGGGCUUCUCUCUCUCCUCUCCGCUUUAUUCGUCGUGGCUUCCAGCCCGCGUACGUCUCACGCAUCCUUUAAUCGAUUUCGUCGCGUCCCACAGAAAACUUUUUCCUGCACUUGGUCUUCCACGUGCAUCAUUUGUGAGCCUGCUGUCAGGACUCAGCAAAUUUACUAUACAAUUUGACUCCUUAGUCUAACUUCGCGAGCGGAGCUGGUUCGAGCAGAAAAGCGGAUGCCGCACGGACUUUAUAAAUAAAAAUACUAAGACCGUGACACUGCGCACUGAACUAUAGAAAAUUUUUAUAUAUAUAUAAAAAUAUUAAUUGCAUACAAAUACUUACAAAUAUAGUAAAUUAUAAAUAUAUUUUUAUAAAAUUCAACUUUUAUAUAUUAUUUCUAUAAAAUUAAAUUCUGAUAUUUUUAAAUAUACUCUUCAAAAAUCCCAAUUGUUAUAAUCGUGCAGAAAUAUUCCUUCCAAAAAAUUUUAAUGGUUAUCUUUUUCCUAUAUUUCUUCUUUUUUAAAACUCAACUCAAUCCACCAUUGUUGCAACCUAUUCUCUCACUACUUUUUUUCUAAAUUUUUUUUUUAUUUUAAGUAAAAUAAGAAAAAAUCAUAAAGAAAAUUGAGAAAAGCAAUACGCGUUCGACAUGGGCGAGACAACAUACGUUAUAGAUGAAUAAGGACGGAGAAAUUCUAAUUACGGAUUUGAAACUAGCACGAAAAAGAGAUGGAAGAGGAAGAGGAAACGAAGGAAGAAAAAAAUUUCCAUUAUUUUUUUUUUAGAGAUAGAUAGUAUGCUAUCUGCUUCGUUUAUUUCAUUUAGAAAUAACUUAGCUAGAAAUGUGAAUCAACUAGGAUUCGAACUUGGCUCUCAAAUACCAACUACCAAUUUACCUCAUUAACUAAUUAAUUAUGGUUAACUAUUUUACCAAUGGUUAACUAAAUUUUUCUAAUGAAUUUUAACGGUAUGAAUAUAUUUGUAAAUAUUAGGAGUUUUAUAAAAAUUAUAAAAAAGUUGAAUUUUGUAAGAAUAUAUUUACAAUUCAUUAUAUUUGUAGGGACUAUAUGCAGUUAACCUUAUAAAAAAGAUCUCAUAAAAAGUUUCUGAUACUAAACAAGUGCAGUCGUAUAUUUACAAGAUUUUUUAUAAAUCUAUAUAUUGAUACUAAGAAAUUUUGGUCGUUCAAAUUAUAAACUUUUACUAAUAUUCUUAUUUUAGUUUAAUAAAUAAUAGUUAUUGCAAAACGCGAAUAAUAUGAUAUCAGAAGUAGAUCGAAAUCUCUAAUACUUUUUUUGAAUUACUUAAAUUAAUUUUAAAAAGGUAAUUUAUGAGUAACCUAUAUUGUGGGUAUGUAAAUUUUUAUAUACUGAAAAGGUUUUGGCUGACGUGGCAGAAUAGGUCCACGCUACAGUUUCUCCACAGUGAGUAAUUUUCCCACUAUUUUUGUAUGGGCAUGCUGGGGUUGGCCACUUGCUGUAGCUCACGUCAAGUGUGUCACGCCACGUUUCCAUUAAAUUUUUUUAAAAAAACAAUUCAAUAGUAAGCAACUUUUACAAGCUUAAUUUGGUACUCCUCACUGUACGUACAAUUAAUUAAAUACAAAUAGAAGCGCUACUUUGUUAAUGGGGAAAACUUCAAAAACCCUCGUGUGGUUUCAUAGUUUCUCAUUUUGCCCCCCUGUAAUUUAAAAUAUAUCAAUUUGUCCUUCUGUGAUUUCAUUUUUCUCUUUUUCUUAUCAAUUUUAUUUUAUUUUUUCUUAAAUCAGUGAUAAAGUUAAAAUUAACGGGUACGAAAGUGAAUAUUUGAUAAAUCUAGAUGGAUAUCUGAAAUUUUUUGUAUAUAAUUUAAUAAAAUAUUAACGAAAAAGCUACCGAAAAGAUAAAAACGAAACCACAGGGGAGCAAAUUAAUACACUUUAAACCACAGGAGGUAAAGUGAGAAACUACCAUAGGGGGGGUUUUUGAAGUUUUCCCUUGUUAAUUUAGUGGUUUCUCAACAUGGUUCGCGUGGUACAUUCAAAAAUUUUAUAAAAUUUUAUUUAAUUUCUUUUUCCAAUUUUAAUACUGUAGUGAACAUUUAAUUUGCAAAACACAUAAUAAGAAACAAUGGAAUGCUCCUUAUUUUGCUUUUUUUUACUGAUAGAUUUGGGUAGGAUUUUGUGUAGAUGUCCAACUAAACUUGAUUUAAAAACUAUUAGAGUUGGGACAUUCAUCUAAAAACGGCUCAAAGUUGAAGGAGUUCUACCUUUCUUUUUUCAUUUGGGUAAAUUUCAACAUGCCGCUUAAGUGGUUUACCUCAUUUUUUUUACUUUAUCAUUUUAUGGUUUAAAAAAAUUAUACUUAAUAUUCUGUAAUUUUAUCUCUAUUUUUAUCCAAAAAUGUAUUAUAAAAUAGAAUAACAAAAAAAAAAAAAUUUAUAACCAUAUAAUGAUUAAUUUGUAAUUUUUUAAAUCACAUGGUGACCAAAUAAACAUGAGCUAAACCUUAGAAAGGUGAAAUAUGCCUUUAUGAACCGCUGAAUAGUAAAGUAAAAAUAAGCUAAACAGCAAGAAUGCAAAUUGAAUUUUACUUCUUCUUUCUUUUCUCCUAAAGAGGAGAGGUUUCUUUUCCGUUCACUACUUUACCUCUUUUCUCCAAUAUAUGUGAAAUGUCAAUCUUUGUCCUUCAUUUUUAGGUUUCUUUUCCGUUCAUUACUUUUGAGUUUACAUCAACAAGAACUCGCGACAUUGGAUCAACAAAUAAUAUUACGUUGGCUGUUGAAGAACUACUAGUUCAAGUGCACAUCUAAUGUACACUUUUCACCAAAAAAAUGUGUUUUUUUUUUUUUUUUUUUUUUUUUUUUUUUUUUUUUUUGAGAGAGAGAUAGGUAGCACGCUACUCGCUUCAUUUAUUUCAUUUAGAAAUAAACUUAGCUGGAAAUGUGAAUCAACUAGAAUUCGAACUUGGGUCUCGGGUACCAACCACCAAAUCCUUUGUCACUUGCUCUAGGGACAGUCGGUAAGUUUUUUUUAAAAAAUUUUGCAUACGCAUUUUGUAGAAUUUAGUUAUGUAUAUAAAUUAAAUAUAUUUUAUAAUAAAUAUAAUCAUCUAAUUUGGCAUAGAAAUAGGUAUAGCAAUAGUAGAUUUAGUUUAGUUGGAUUUGCUAUUAAAUAAAAGUAGAUUAUAUAUCUUAAUUAAAUUGUCUGAGUUAAAAAUAAUUUAUUUUGUAAUGUUAUUUAAAGUAUUGAUACACUUCGAGAAUAAAAAGAACAUAUUUGGAAGAAAAUUUGGCAAAAUUAAAAUUUUUAUUUGCUCUUUUAUAUAAAGCAUAAUACACAUAACUUUUCUGAAUGAAUAAAUCGAACUAAUAUUCUGUAUGCCCUCAUCGAUCCUCUUCCAUUAAUUGGUUAACAUAUGGAUGAUUUUUUAUUUACCAAAAUUUUCCCACGUUUUUAACUUGGCAUGUAGCUAAUAAAAAUAAUUCCAAAUGAUAAUAAAAUAUACAAAAUAGUAGCGGUUUAGUUAGAGCAAAAACAAAUAAAAAGUCCAACAAAUUAAAUAGUAGAGUACUUUUAACAAACUUUAAAUUAUUUUGCACAGAUUUUUCAGGAAUUAUUUGUAAAUUGAGCUGGCACUACUUUAUGUUAACUCUAUAUAUUAGAUCCAUUUUAUUUCCACAAAUGAUUCCACUAAGAUGGAGACACCUAAUUUCGAUUUGUUUGUUCCUAUUGUCCACAACCCACUUAAUAGCAUUAUGGUACAAAGUGCAUAUCCCUUUAAGAGUGAAAUGAUACUAAUUUUGCCCAAUCUUAUUCAGCAUUAGGUAGAAAAACUGGGCGAUAUCAUUAGUACAUUAUUAGCGCAUGCCCGUCGCUAUACUAAGCAUUUAUCAGUGGAGAAGGUUUUUUUUUAAAAAAAUGGAGCUAAUAUAUAGCUAGAAAGAAUUGUGCAAGCGGAGAGAAUCAAGUAAUAAAAAAAUUCAGCUCAAAUUAAGCUGCACGGUAAAAAUUUAUAUAUGAUGUAUUAAAUUUUUCUGUUUCUAUAUCGGCACUAUAAUUGGCUUAAAAUUGUAAUGCAGUUAUUUAUAAUUUCAUUCGAAGUGAGAUGUAAGAUUAUAAUGACACAAUUAUACAGUAAAUUAUUAGUGCGUCUUUUAUCUGAAUCAAACUCACUUGUUUGUAAAAGUGAAAUAAAGUAUUGUUACAGAAGUUUACAACUAGGUCUUGUAACGUGAGUACGUGAACGGUUGGUAAUUGAACGCAUGGUAAAUUAGUACGCAAAUUUGCUUAGGGUACCACGUGAAAUUGAACUCAUUAGCUAGAAUGUUCAAAAUGUUGUAGGCGUAUGAUACAAUAAAUUGUACUGUUCACAUUGGUCGCAUGUCACAUCGAUCUAAUGGGAUUUACACUGAUCCACCUCAGCAUGUCUCUCACUGAAUGAAAUGAGAUACAUUGACAAAACAUUCUCCUCUACUCAUAGGACUCACACCGCAGCUGGAAAAUAAAAAAACGGAUUGAAAAUUAAAGAUUAAAAAAGGCCAUUUAUCUGGUGUCAAGUCUCAAUCGAGCAUUUUAUUAUUAUUAUUAUUACUCUUACUAUUAAUUACUAUUAUUUUAUAUCGACCGUCUUUAGAGCAAGUGGCAAAAGACUUGGUAGUUGGUAUCCGAGAUCCAAGUUCGAAUCCUAGUUGAUUCAAAUUUUCGGCUAAGUUUAUUUUUAAAUAAAAUAAACGAAGCGCAUAGCGUGUUACCUAUCUCUAAAAAAAAAAAAAUAUUAUUUUAUGAUUUCCAUUAACGAUGCAGGUUCAAUUAAUGCACCGUCUCUUCACAAAAUAAAAACGUGUUCCUUUCACAAGAUUUUGGCUUUUCAAAUCAAAAUCUACGGGUUAGUAGGAUCCAAGGUUAGGUUUGAUACUUGCACAAAUUAAUUUCUGCUUUUCUCCGAGUAAUUGUUGAAUUAAUUAAGGAUGACAAAUUGGAAACCUCUCAAUACCUAACAAGACGGAAUUGGUAGCUAGAAUUGAACCAAGUUAGACGAGAAUCGGACUAAAUUGUUUCGUAAUUUUGUGGCGUGAUUAAUUCCGAAAACAAAAAAUAACAAUGGCAAGUAAUAUUAGAACUGAAGUAUCAGAGCCUGUCCUAAGCUCUUUUCAUUCUAAGAAUUUCCAAAGUCAGACUCGCAGCAGAUGCACUAAUAUUCUCCUAUUAGUGCAUCUGGUAUAAUUCAUCUAAUGUAUAUAUUGCUCGCGAGAGAGUAGUGUAGAGAUUAAUUUUGAAUUGUUUUUUUUUUCAGAAUGAUGUUUUGGAUACAUCGAGCUCUGAGGCCGUGUUAAAGAUUCCUACCUAGAGCAAACGAUUAAUCUCAACCCUCUCAUUCUCUCUAACCUCGACUCUAUUUCUCUUUUUAUUUCUUUAAUUAUGCUUUCUCUUUCCAACUUAUAUUUUUUCUCUUUUUUUCUAAAAAAAUAUUAAAAUUAUUUAUAGUAUUAUUUAAAAUUAAUUUAAUUAAUUAAUUAAUUAAUUAAUUAAUUGUAUAUUUUUCGUAAUCUUAAAUAACCUGACUAAAUAAUAUGACCGUACGAACCAAACACCGAAAUACUACAUUCUUAGUAAUAAGAUGAAUAAGAAUAAGAUUCUCGGAUAUUUUUUUACUUCUAGUAAUUUUUUAUAGUGCGAACCAAACGCGCCCUUAAGGUGAGCAAAAUUGCAUCUUUACUAGUCAGGUUUGAAUUAUUCGAGCCGGACCAGCUUGGUCAUUGUGGCUCGAGUCACAUACUCAGAGAAAUGGUGCAAACAGGCCAGGUUACGUGGACAGGGGUGUCGAGGACCCGAUUCGCACGACAAAAGUUUCUCAGCUUAAGGCCCAAUAGGCACUUUCGAGUGUUAGAGCCCAAUGCCUCUUUUGGGCCUUCAUUGGCCUGUUUGGUAAAAUCACAUUCGUGGGCAACAAUCAUAACAAUUAAAAGCUAGACUGGUGUCCCUGUUUGUGGGCCGUGAGCUUAUCAUGUCCUUCAAUCCCACCAUACACUAUGCGACGCAACUCGUUUUGGUAGCUUCUGAAUUGGCUAAAUGCCAAGUCAAUCUCACCGACCAUUCCUAGCGCAAGUUGCAAAAGAUUUGUAUAAUAAAUAUUUAUAAUAACUAACUGUCCCUAGAGCAAAGUUGCAAAAGAUUUGGUGGUUGGUACCGAGUCCCAAGUUCAAAUCUUAGUUGAUUAACAUUGCCAACUAAGUUUAUUUCUAAAAAAAAUAAACAAGACAGGUAGCAAUGCUUUCUUUCACUAAAAAAAAAAACCAAAAAUUAGAACCGUUAAAAAAAAUGUGCACAUUGAAUGCAGAGAGAGAGUAUAUAACAUAACGAAAUAUAAAAUCACUGCUACAUUGAGGCUAUUUUGUUGCAUGUUUUUGCAAUUGUACUAUAGGCGUAACUAUAUAUAGAUCUAAAUAUGGUGUUUAAUUUAAUACAUUUGAGUCCAACUGCAGCAGUUAGAAUUUCAUAAUGAGGCUCAACUACAGUUGUUGGAAUUGGAUCCAAAUUGGUAGAAGUUUUAACUAUAAUAGUUAAGAGAAUAACUUUAAAUGAAAGCUAAGAAGGCCAUCAUCCUAAUCAUCUUUUAAACAGAUUUUUGUUUUUUAAAAUAUAUUGGAAGUAAUCUUAUGAUUCUUAUUGCCCUAAAUUUAAACCAACAAAAUUAGAAAAAUACAUUUAUAAAUAUAGUUUUCAAUACUAUGCAAUCAAAAAAAUUAUCUAUAUUCACAAUAUUUUAUACUAUAUAUAAUUAAAUAAGAUUUAUAUAAUUAUAAGUGUUAUUUUUCAAAUUGCGUAUUUUUUCUCAACUAUACUGUAUUUAUAAUUGUAUAUACUGGAAGGGCUCCAAAGUGAAGUGACUCAUCUGCGAUUUGACAUAGCUCGACCACAUGACACCACGAUAAGCUGUUGCGUUAAAUCUGAUAAACCGACAAAAGAAAUAUAUGAUAAUUGCUAAGCUAAAGUGUCAUAAGCAAAAAAGAGAAAGUGUUUAGAUAAAGUUAUUUAUAAGCAAAAAAAUUCUUGGUUUUUCUUCUUUUAUUUUUUUGGUAUUUGUUUUUAUUUUUGGGGAAAGCCUGGUAACUCCUCACUCAUUCCAGAUGCUAGAGAAAGCCGCAAUAAAGUAGCUUCUUUUUUUUUUGAGAGAGAUAGGUAGCAGUAUACUAUUCGUUUUAUUUAUUUCAUGUAGAAAUAAAUUUAACUGAAAAAGUGAAUCAAUUAGGAUUCAAACUUGGGACCUCGGGUGCUAACCAGUAAAUCUUUUGCUACUUGCACUAGAGACGGUCGAUCGCAAUAAAGUAACUAUUGAAGUCCCCAGAAGCGCUUCUGCGAAGAGCACAUCGUCGGCGGUGGGUGAGCCGACACAAUAUUUCAACUGCUCUUUAUGUUGCAAUAGAAAACCCAACUCUGUUCUCAAAGGAAAGCAACACAAACACUAUCUUAUCAUACACGUACACCCUGAUGAACAUCUAAUUUGAUUAAAAGUUGAUUGUUAAAGGGAAAAGAAACGACAAAAAAGAAAACAGAAGGUGGGGAGGAAGUUGGUUCUUUUGGUGAUCUUUCUGUUGCAAUUAUUGGCCAGAUUUUGUAUUACUUUCUGGGACAUGGCCAGGGCUACUAACAAUAUGGCAUGUGGGAGUGUCAAGCAAAAGUUUAACGCAGACAGGACCGCAUAAAAGAAUUAUGAAAUCUAUUGCAUUUUACUUGAAUGAUGGAUCAAAUGAUCUUGCGAUCGGUCUCCCUUAAAUUCUUAUUAUGGAGUGCCUAUUCGUGUCAAUUGACUUGCUAAUGCAUCAACCGAAACUAAAUUAGCGACCAUAUUAUAGAAUUUGAUUUUAAAAUUGUGCGCAGAUAGUGUGAUAUCUUAUAUUACGUAGGAUUAAGAUCAAGAUGGAAGCGGGUGUUAACACUAGUUUUUAAUUGUUUUCUGUCGGAUUAAAAUAUGUCUAAAUUUUCUUGCUUCUUUUUAUUUAAUCAAUUUUUUAGAUAACAACUUAGCGGAGGUGCGUAGCUUGUCAAUUGCAAACAUAAUGGGAACCCACUAAUUAACUACCCUAAAUAAGAUAAGUUUUUGACUAUGAGCAGGUUUUUAUAGUUCUACCACACAGUACUAGAUUCUCUCGUCUCCACUUAUUUUAGAGGUUACAUACACUUUCCCACAGACACACACCACAAGAGAAAAAAAUUAAAAAAAAGGUUUGAAUUAUUGCAGAGGUGUACUACAUGUAGAAAAUAUUAGGGAAAACUUCAAAAACCCCCCCUGUGGUUUCACACUUUUUCAUUUUAGUACCCUGUGGUUUGAAGUGUAUCAAGUUAGUACCCUGUGGUUUCUCACUUUAUCACUUUAGUACCCUGUGGUUUCACACUUUAUCACUUUAGUACCUUGUGAUUUAAAAAACUAUAGGGUACUAACUUGAUACAAAAUUAAAACCACAGGGUACUAAAGUGAUAAAGUGAGAAACCACGGGGUACUAACUUGAUACAUUUUAAACUAUAGGGUAUUAAAGUGAAAAAAAUUGAAACCACAAGAGGGAUUUUUGAAGUUUUCCCAAUAUAUUAAGAGCAAGUGUUGCUGCCUCGUGCCGGCUUCGAGGCAUUAAGUAAUACAAGAAUGUCUAUGGAGUGUAGCUAGGCCUCGAGUCUUAUUUGCUCCUAAUUUAAAGGAAGGUUUGAUGAUGUAUAUCCAAUUGGAAUCUUAUAAGCACUUCUUAAUUAUACAAUAUUUGUAUGUCUGAACUUCUGCUUCUGCUUUAAGCUAUAAUCACUUUUAGUACAGUAUUUGUCAAAUAAGAAAAUUUGAAGAAGUUUCUGUUGCGAUGAAAAUUAGAAAUGAUAUUUUGAGGAUGAAACAUAGACGCUCCAAAAUUGGAGCCUGUAAUUUUGCUCAAUUGACAAAAAGCUUGAUGAUUGGUAUGUGAGAUCUCACACUUGAAAUUUAGUUGUUUCAUAUUUCAAGCUAAGUUUAUUUCUAAAAAUAUAAAUACAGAGCGUGACAUGUCAUCUUUCUCUUUGAAAAAAGAAGAAAAAAAUUAACAAAAGAAUGCGAACCCUACCUAGCGAAGUUGCCUAAGGUCUUGAUGGUUGAUAUCCGAGAUUCCAAAUUUGAAGUCAAACUGCUUCAUAUUUCUGACUAAACUUAUUUGUAAAUGAAUAAACGAAGCGAGUAGGUUGUUAUCUUCCCUCUGAAAAAAAAACAAAAUUAAGAGAUGAUAUUUGAAAUAGAAGUUAUACAAAGUUUUGGAGACGCAAAUUUAUGUCAAAGAGGAGCUAGGCUGCUAUAUUAUCGAUAGCACAAAGGUCUCUGUGCUAUCAAAUUAUUUUCAAUGAUGCGGCUUUCAAAUCAACGAUAGACUCUGUUAGACUUGAUUUAUACUAUUGAAAGUAUUUAUAAACUAAAUUUUAUAAUUUUUUAACAUUAUUUAGUUACUGAUCAAAAGGUCUCAAAAUUGAGAAUUUUAAUAGUUGAUACGAUGCAUUUAUGAAUUUAACGAUAUAAAACAAUUCAAAUUUGAUGAAUUUUUUAUAUUUUUUUUUUCACUAUUUAGAGUAAGAUCAAUACAUCCAAUCUUAAAUUUAAGCCUUUUAUCAUCAUUUUUUAUGAAAUUUUUAUUUUUAGCCGUUCAUUUUUAGAUUACUUAUUUGAUAGGUAAAUAAUGUCAAAAAAUUAUAAAAUUUAGUCCUAAAUACUUUUAAUAGUGUAGAUAAAGUUUAACAGAAUCGACCGUCGAUUUGAAAGUCACAUUAUAAAAAAUAAUUUGGUAGUACGGUGAUUUCUGUGCUACCGGUAGCAUAGCAAUUAACGGGACUCUUCAAAGAGAGUUUAUAGUCAGAAAUAGAAGCUGAUAUGCAUAGCUUUUGUAGUUGUUUUCUUUUUUGUGGGCCUACCAGGUGAAGGUUGAUACCAUGUUAUUGCCAAAGUUCUUUUUUAAAGUGAAAAGGCCAAAAAGAUAACGUGCACAUAAUGCAUGUGGACUCAUUGAAGGUUGUGCGCUUUCAAAAUAAAAGAUUAUGGUCUUUAGAAAUAAUUUUGUUCUAUAUAUAAAAUUAUUUGGUUCUUUAUCCUCAUAUAUAGCAGGUCACAUCAGCCCGGUUAAAACAUUAUGUGGGUAGUUGACUUCUUUUAUUAAUUAUUAGAUGCAUGCCUAACAAAAUGUCAUUUUUUUCUAUAAAAAUUGACAUAUACAACUUUUCAAUAUUAUUAAAAUAGAUGAAUUAUAUUCUAGUCAGGAUUUGAAUCUUUUAGCUCUGAGAACAGUAAAAUUUAUUUUGAACAUACUAAAUUUAUUUUAUAAUUCAUUUCGAUAUUGUCGUAUGAAUUUAUAAAUUUUGAUCAUUAUUUACUAAAUUGUCUGUCCAUAUUCAAACUCAAUGAUGAAACCUUAGUAUAUGAGUUCUUCGCUAAGAUACUUAAAAAACUUUUAUUGAUUAAAAACAAAUAAAAAUAAAAUUGGUUUUGUGAUUUGGUGGGUACAUAAGUCAAGUUUGAACAAUUUGUUAAACUAGAUGUUUUAGUUUUUCAGUUGCCAAAAACACAACAUUUUUUUUUCCUUGCGUAGAAAAUACGUUCCAGGGCCAAAUAGGCCUCCAUCAUAGAUGGCUAUUGAAUGAACAAUUAUAAGAUAGAUCGAUCCUAAACUGGUAUAAGAACUAUUACUUAGUGCAGUGGUUAUUCUCCAGUGAGGAUUUCUAAAUUGCAGGUUACGAAUCCCGUACAACGAUAAAAAAACCUCCACCUUUUUCGGUAUUAUAGUAGCAUGUUAAUUUCGAAUAGAAUAGAGUUAUGGAGCCUAUGGGCAGUGAUUAAAAAAAAAAAAGAUCUAUUGGUGAAAGUGGCGUAGUUUGAAGAUUAGAAAUUAGCCAAUGGCCUUUCGUAUCACAAACUACUCUUAGAAGAUAAUAAUUUGUCAUUAAUGAAUAGUUGUUUUUUAUUUAUUUAGUGUUCACAGGGUGGAUUUGGCUACGUUCAAUAUAAAUGUUCAAUCAAUAUUAUCAUCUUUUUUUGUUUUUUAAAAUAUAAUUAAGUUGAAACAAAGGAAAGAACUAGGAAAUGUUCAACUAUCGCAGAGAUCAAAGAAGAUGACCGGUGCUCUUUAAUCUCUACCAACAAAGGCAUUAUCGCGGAUAGAAGGGCACAAAGGACUAGGCAUACUCUGUUUGGUUCGAAUCAUAUUACUGAACUAAACCAAGUUAUUUCAAAUUAACUCUGUCCGUUAAUUUUUUGGGCAAUAACGUUGGAUUUAAUUUUGCAAAGUGUGGAUCAAAUGUAUAGAGUUCAUGAUCAAAUUGGCGCACACUAUUGGGACAGGAAAUUCGUGUGCUUGCCUCUCUUUUUUUUUCCUCUAUGUUGUGACUUUAUUCUGUGCUCACGUGUAAGACAUGUAAGCAAUUACUCCGUAAAUGUUAAUAGGAUCAAUUUUUGAAUAAAGCUUAUAAAAUUCCGAAACUUCGCAUCCGAUACAUUUUGACCAGGAAUUGAGUUUGCAAAAAGACACAUAGUUUAAUUUACAAUCUCAUCAUCAAAAUUAAUUCGAUCGGGGAGCAAAGUCGAACGUUAGCACAUCACAUGGCCAUAAUCAUGCAUAAUUAGUCGUAGCAUAUUUAUGUGUAAUAAGUUUAAAUAUAAAAAUGCCUCUGCAAGCUUUUGCUGUAGUACGACGCUGCUUCGAUCGAUAUAUGCCUCCAUCUAUGUACCCCGAUUCUCUAUGCAUAAAAGAAGGAUAAAAUCAUAUAACCCACAAAACCAUGCAUAAAUCCAAGAGGAGAGUAUAUUUAGAAAUUUGUGCUCUCGAUUAAUCUAAGAAACGAACAAUCAUUCUAAUUCGACCAACUUGUUCAUAUAUAGAAAAAUAUUUAGACAAACCAAACUCGAUCUUUAGGUCGAGACCACCUGAAUUUCUUUUUCGCAUAAGUCCAAAUUUUUAGAAGGGGAAAGAAGGGACCAUUAAAAUGCCUAUAAAAGUUAAAAUUUUUUUAUGCCUAUCCCUUAAAAAGAAAAUCCCCACAGUUGAUAAUCUAUUGAAAAAGGGAUGGUUGGAUAAUCCUCUCUGUAUCCUCUGUGAUGAAGUUACGGAGACAGUGGACCACCUUCUUAUAGGAUGUAUAUACACUAGAUUUAUAUUUUUUCGAACCUUGAAGGACAUCCAGUGUUUACAGACAAUAGAGAACGUAACGAUUUAGAGUAAAAUGACCAUAAAUAUUAGGUCGGGGGAGAUUCUACAGGAUCUGAUUACCGUAGUAGCGUGCCGUUGGCUAAUCUGGAAGAAAAGAAAUAACACGAUUUUUAAAAACCACAUUAUCGACCCUUUCUUUGUAGUUGGGUGUAUCAUCAAGGAAUUGGUAAAAGAGUGGAGGGACUUUUGUUGAGCUGAAUAACAUGUCGAUUACUUUUGUUAUUAUUUCUCUUUUCUUUUUUCUUUGAGCUAUAUUUUUACUUACUGUUUGUAGCCAAGUUCAUUUUCGAAAUGAAUGGAGCAGGUAGCGUGCUACCUUUUUUUCAAAAAAAUAAGAAAAGUAGGGACCAUCUUGCAAUAAACGAAAGAGAAUGUGUGUGAAUAUGUGAUAGCAAUAAGUAGAUCCACCACCUGCAUUGAACACUGUAAAAGAGGAUCACAAAUCAUUGGUUGCACAAUGCGUAUUCGAAUUUCUCGUACACCGCGAAUGAAAUUUCAUAACUAUAUAACAUAAGUUAAUCUCAUAAAUAUGUUUUAUAUAUUGCAUCUAAAGUUUGAAACUUGAAAAGUUAGAAAUAAGAAGAUUGAAAAUUUUAAAAGUUUAUUAUUCAGAAAUCAAUUAUUGAAGAAAAGUAUAACAAAGAAAUAUUAAAAGCAGAUGUCUCAAUUUUUUAAAACUUUUAAAUUAUUAAAUAUAUAUAUAGGGCAUGGCUACUAUACUAUUAUGAGUAUUGGAGCCCUCGUACUCAUAAGUUGUUUUCAAUGAUGGAGCUUCCGAAUCGACGAUCCACUCCGUUAAAUAUGAUUUAGAGUAUUUGAAACUUCUAGAAAAUAAAUUUUGUAAAUUUUCGAAAUCAUAUUAAAGUCCAUCAAGUGGGCAUAAAAUGAACGGUCAAAAUCGAACGACGUCCUAAAAAAAGAUGAUCAGAUCUUUCAAUUCAAGAUCGGAGUUAUUGAACUUUAUCUAUGUGAUGAAUAGAAUUUUUUAUCAAAAAUUCAACAAAUUCCGAUUCUUUUACACCGUUAAGCUAGCAAGUAUUUCAUACCGGCCGUUAAAAAUUGUCAAAUUUGUGGCAAAGGACUUGGUGGUUAGUACUCGAGACCCAAGUUCGAAUCCUAAUUGAUUCACAAUUCCAGCUAAGUUUAUUUCUAAAUGAAAUAAACAAAGCGGGUAGCGUGCUAGCUAUCUCUCAAAAAAAAAAUGUCAAAUUUGUGACCUCUUGAUUGUAAGGUAAAUGAUGUCGAAAAAUUAUAAAAUUUGAUUUCUAGAAGUUUUAAAUACUGUAAAUAACGUUUAAUGGUAUGGAUCGUCAAUUCGGAAGCUCUAUCAUCGAAAAUAAUUUAUGAGUACGAGAGUGAUCGUACUCAUAAUAGCAUAGUAGCCGGACCCUAUAUAUAUAUAGAAAGAGAGAGUGCGUCUGGUAUGCUUCUGGAAGUACGGAGCGCUCCGUGCUUUCAAGUUGUUUUCGAUGUUCGGACUUUCGAAUUAACGAUCGGCUCCGUUAGAGUUGAUCUAGAGUAUUUGAAGUAUCUAGAAAAUAAAUUUUGCGAUUUUUCAAUAUCAUUUGCCUAGUGAUCGAAGUGGCUCAAAAUCAACGGCUGAAAAUAAAAAUCUUACAAAAUAUGAUGAUAUGACAUUAAAAUUUUAGAUCAAAGUUAUUGAUCUUGUUUUAUAUGGUAUAAAAAAUUUUUUAUCAAAAUUUCAUAUGAUUUGAAUAUUUCUACACCGUUUAACUUGCAAACGGCUCACCACGGCCUUUAAAAUUAUUGAUUUUGAGCCCCUUCGAUCACUAGGAAAAUGAUAUCGAAAAAUUACAAAAUUUAUUUUCUAGGUACUUCAAAUACUCUAGAUCAACUCUAACGGAGACGAUCGUCGAUUCGAAAGUCCGAACAUCGAAAAUAACUUGGAAGCACGGAGGGCUCCGUGCUUCCAGAAGCAUACCAGCCCAUUAUAUAAUAAUAAUAAUAAUAAUAAUAAUAAUAAAUUAAUAUAUAUAUAGAGCAUAUCUAAUUUGAAAGUAUGUGUAAUAUGUUAUUAGAAGAGGUUAUCAGAGGGGGCAAAUGCUUUAAGUUCCCUUAAAAUUGCCUCUAUACUAUUUAAAAUAUAUUGACAAGACAUUCAUAUGUAACAACAAUAUACAAAUGAAAAAUAUUUUGCUCACAUACAAAAUUUUCAACUUUUCACAUAUAGGGACGUAAUAUAUAUAUAUAUAUAUAUAUAUAUAUAUAUAUAUAGAGUUGAGCUAGAAAUACUUACUCGAUAGUAAAACGGGGUGUUUUACUAUCGAGGUUGUUUUCGAUGAUAGAGCUUGCCAAUUGACUGAUCGGCUCGUUUAAAUAUGAUCUAAACCAUUUAAACUACCGAGAAAUCAAAUUUCACGGCACUUUCGAUAAUUGUUCGUUUAAUCCAUCUAAUGAACAAAAAAAUGAAUGGCUGAAAUAAAUAUUCUUUAAAAAAUGAUGAUAGGAGUCUUGUAAUCAAGAUCAAGAGUAAGAUCUUUGUUAAAUAGUUUAAAGAUUUUCUAACAAAUAAUUUAAAUUGAGUUUUGGAUAUCUGUUACAACCGUUAAAACGAGAAAACGUCUCUUAUCCACACAUUAAAUUACAAAUUUUGAAACCGCUUUGAUCAUUAGGCAAAUGACGAAAAGAUUUGAAAAUUUAUUUCUAAACAACUUCAAAGUGGUAUAUGGAUCAUCUUCAACAGGAGCCGAUCGUACAAUUUGGGAACUCUAUCAUCAAAAAACAAACUCGAUAAUAAAACGCCCCGUUUACUAUGAGAGUAUGUGCGAGCGUCAACUCUAAAUAUAUAUAUUAUGAACAGGCUACUAACUAUCGGUACACGGAGCGCUCCGUGGUACCAGAGUGUGUUUCGAUGAUGCGCUUCAAUCGACGAUCGGCUCCGUUAGACUUGAUCUACACUAUUGAAAGUAUUUAGAAACUAAAUUUCAUAAUUUUUCGAUAUCAUUUACCUAUCAAACAAGUAGUCUAAAAUUGAACGGCUGAAAAUAAAAAUCUCAUGAAAAAUGAUGAUAAAAGAUUUAAAUUCAAGAUCAGAUAUACUGAUCUUACUCUAAAUAGUGAAAAGAAUUUUCUAUAAAAUUUUCAUCGCAUUUGGAUUUUUUUACACCGUUAAACUCACAAACACACCACAUCGGCCAUUAAAAUUGUCAAUUUUGAGAUCUUUUGAUCACUAGUCAAAUGAUGUCGAAAAAAUCUGAAAUUUAGUUUCCAAAUACUUUCAAUAAUGUAGAUCAAGUCUAACGGAGCCGAUCGUCGAUUUGGAUGCCGCAUCAUCGAAAACAACUUGGUAGCACGGAGCGCUCCGUGCUACCGAUAGCAUAGUAGCCGGACUCCUAUAUAUAUAUAUAUAUAUAUAUAUACUUUUAAAUGAUUCUCUUUAGCUGUAAGGAUUAUUAUUUUAUUCAUAAAUUAAAUUACUGUCUAUAUAAAUUAUAACAUUCAUAUGAUUAAAUAGGAUUUUAUUAUCAGGUAAAUAAAAUAAUAUAUAAAAAUUAUAAUUAUAUAUAGCAUGUCAUAUAUUGGUUCCGUUUAUUUUUCUGAAAAAAUAAAUUUAGCUAAAAAUAUAAAAUAAUUAAAUUUUAAAUUUAAAAUUUUUGAUGUGUCAACCUUAUGUCCUUAGCCGGUAGAUUUGAUUGUUUAUUUAUUUUAUUUUUUUUUUCGUGGGGUGGUGCACCUAGUGCAUGCAAUAAUAGUUUCUCAUCAAAGGUGAAGAAAGGUCUUUCUUGUUCUUGUGAUUAUGGUCCGUAGGUAGCGCGAAUAAAUACGCGCGUACACCCCCACUUGGCACAAUUGGCAUAACGAGAAAGAGAGAGAUAGAGAGAGAGAGAGGAGGAAAUUAAGAGUGAAAAAAAAGAAAAAAAAAGAAAAAGAAAAAAAAAAAGAGAUGAGUCCGGGUGCGGCGAAGAAGCGAAGCACGCGGAGCUCCCUGAUGGGGCUGGGAUGCGGGUGCAAGGACGCGAAAUCCGUGUCGGUGUCGCUCUCCGCCUCCGACACCUCCACCGCCACCCCGCGCCGCCCCCGACACAACUCCUCCUCCGCCGAAACCCUAACCCUCCCCUCCACCUCCUCUUGCUCCGACGCCGCCGCCGACGACCUCGGCCCCCAAAUCGGGAGCUCCGCGAGCACGCCCAGCUUCUCCGGCCUCCUGCGCGAGCUCGGCGAGCUGGAGCAGAGCGUCAUGUCCCUCCCCACCUCCGCCAUUGUCGACGACGGGGCGGCGGAGGAGAGGAGGAAGAAGAUCCCGAUCCAUCGGCGGGUGGAGGAGGAGAGCGUCGCCGUGGUGAAGGAGUCGGAGGACCCGCUGGGGGACUUCCGGAGGUCCAUGCUGCAGAUGAUCGUCGAGAAGGAGAUCGUCACCGGGGCCGAGCUCCGCGAGCUCCUCCGCCGCUUCCUCGCCCUCAAUUCCCCCCACCACCACGAUCUCAUCCUCCGCGCCUUCGCCGACAUCUGGGACGACGUCUUCGCCGGCUACAACGACCACACCCCCGAUCUCAUCCGCCACACCCACCGCCGGUAUCCCCCGCCGCCUCCUCCGCCAUUCUAAAACCAUAAUAUAACGUACACAUAAUUGGAAAAUCAGUAUUUCCAGCGCCAGAUCAGUGCAUACCAGAUUUAUCAUAUGAUAUCCCACGUAAAAUAUGAAGUGCUCUGAAAAUAUCAAUUCCUCUAUAAAUUUCAUUCAAUUAUUUUCGGUUGUAUAGCAAGUCGAUCGGGCCGGGCAUGCUUACUUUUGAUGUUCAUAUACUGUUAUGUUAGCAUCUGCAUAAUUUGAUCUUCAUUUUUAAUAUGUAUAAUAAUUAUUAUUUUAAUUUAGAUAUUAAUUAGAAAGAGCGGUGCGAGACUUUAUAUGGGUGGUUGAGGUGGAGUGGAAGAGAGGGCGAUUGGAACCUCGUGAGUUAUGCUACUGCCUACUGGUGGUGUUGGUGGUGGGUGGAAAUGACAAAGCGAGAACGAAAACUGAUGCGCAAGUUGGCGUAAUCAUUGGGCCCCCCGUUUGUCCCUCGUAACCGCGAUUUCAAUUGUUAAGCACGAGUUAAUACUGUACUAUUGACUUGACAAGUUUAAGUAAUCAUCAUUACAUAUAUAAUUAUAUAUAUUUGUGUCCGUGGUCUAAACACACGUCUCAGAAAUUUGAGGGAUUUAAGGGAACUAGUAUGGCUAAAAUUAACUUUGAUUUUUCUAAAAUAAAUUUAUUAUUAUAUCUGGUCAUAAUUGAAAAUUUUUCACUAGAAUAAUAAUAAUAAUGUAAACUGCUUUUAUAAUACUAAUUUCCGCGAACUAAUUAAGUAGAUUGAAGUUAAAGAAGGAAAAGUGGUAACCGCAAAUUAAUGAUCAAAACAUCUGGAGGACGAGGACACCUGGGAACCACGAACCGAGCUCGCGCGAACAUCUGCUUUAAGUGAGUCGUACAGUGCCCACGUUGGCACUACACGAAGCCCAAGAUAUUCCGAUAAAUGUUUUUUUUUUCAAUUGGAAAUUGUAUUUUCUUAGGGGUAAAUUUUAAAUGCCACCGUAUAAUUUCGUAUUUUUUACUUUAAUAUACUAUAAUUUAAAGUAUAUUAAUUUAAUAUUCUAUAAUUUUUUUGUCAAUUUUUUGUUAAUUUUUUAUUAAAUCAUAUACAAAAAAUUUCAGAUGCCUCACCUAUAGUUUAUCGAAUAUUCACUUUAAUAUUCUUUAGUUUUAACUUUAUCACUUAUUUAACGGGCAAAAAUUAGUAGAGGGGUUAACAAAAAGAAAAAAAAUAAAAUCACAAGCUACGAAAGUGAUACAUUUUAAACCACAUAAUACUAAAAUAAGAAAGUACCAAACUAUAGGAUGGUAUUUAAAGUUUUCUCAUUUCUUAACACAAUGAUAGUUGCAAGGAGGGGUAAGAGCUGCAAGGAUAAAUCCCACCCCAAAUUUGAUAGAAUGAAAAUUAUGAUGUUAAAAUUUAGCAUUUAACGUAUUAUAUACGAAUUCGCGUACGAAAAAAAAUAUAUAAAUAUAAGCCGUUUUCAUCCUUAUGAUAAAGACGAUGUUAAUAUCUAUUUGUAGUGAGAUAAAGUGAUUUUAUUUUGUUAUUCGUUUAAUUUAUUAUAAAUUUUAUGUUGAGAUUAUAUUUAUAUUUGCUAAAUAUUAAUUUUUAUGGAAUAAAAUAUAGUCAUAUAAAAUUUUAAUACGAAUAUAAAACAUUGGUUACAUUGUAUUCACGGUAAUUCUAAUUUAUAUUUAUAUAUGUAUAUGUAUUAUUAUUACAUACUAUUAUCAAACUAAUAUUUGAAUUUAAACAUUCUUUAGCGAAUAUGACACAAAAUUGGGCAUCCUUUAUAUACCGUAUUUGAGUUCGCAUUUCAAGAAAAUAUAAAUAUAGAUAUAAUUUUGUCAAAAAUCUGACUAAACAGUUUUCACCCCUAAUUGCAAGGGUGAUAAAAUGAAAGAUAAAUUUUUUAUUCUUUUUAAAAAAAAUUAAAAGAUAAAUGUUGAAAUGGUCCACAACAUGCUGGGGUAGUGGACAAGGUCCAGAUAAUAAUUUCUCGUACGUCGCCGGCAAAAGAUGAACGAAGCAGACCUUUUGAGUUAAACAAUGAUGCAGUGAUGUUUUAAUUAUUUGCAAAAGUAGCAUUAUUAAUUAGCUGUCAUUGUUUGUAUACAUCAAACAUUGCUGAGAUGUUUGUGCGGGUCAAAGGAAAAGCAGGGUAAGAUCUAGAGAUGCUCGAGUCCGAGGCAACUUUAGAGAGCUGAUCCAUAUGACCCGUAGUCUUCGUCCAAAUGUGUGUUUGUACGUCGUUGCAGUGGUAUAAACAGUGUUGCAGUGCCUGACACUAUACUAGUUCUGCACAGUUCUUCUAUGUCAAGAUAAAUAGAUGUAGAUACGAGCAUUACAACAGGUAGUCUAUUUUGGACUCUCCCCCUAAUAUUAACAUAACAUCAUUUUUACCUACCAACCGUCUCUAGAGCAAAUGACAAAGAACUUAGAAGUUGGUAUUCGAGAUUCAAAUUUAAAUUUUAAUUAAUUUACAUUUCUAACUAAGUUUAUUUCUAAAUAAAAUAAAUGAAGUGGAUAGCGUACUACCUAUCUCUCAAAAAUAUAUUAUUUUUACCUACCGUCCUUAGAGCAAGUUAGAAAAGACUUUGUGGUUGAUAUCCGGGGUCCAAAGUUCGAAUCCUAAUUGAUUCAUAUUUCUAGCUAAGGGCCUGUUUGUUCGCCCGUAAAAAUUUUUUUUCGAAAAACUCUUUUUACGGAUUUACGUUUUCCGCUCAGAACGAGCUGAAAACGAAAACGCCGCGCCGAAAAAUCGCGGCGUUGGAGAUAAGUUGGAGUUGAGGCGGGGUUCAGCAGGCACGGUCCACGAGAGACACCCCACCUCGUGGACCGCCCGAGAGAGAGGUCCACAGUCAACAGUGACUGUGGACCUCUCUCUCUCCCACAUUUUUUUAUAUAUAAUAUAUAUAUAUAAUAUAUAUAUAUAAUAUAUAUAUAAUAUAUAAUAUAAUAUUAAAUAUGCGUAUUUUAUUUUAAUAUAAAUAUAUUAUAUAUAUAAUAUUUUAUUUAUAAAAAUAUCUAAUAAUUUAUUUUAUAGAUUAUAUAUUAUAUUAUAAUUUUAAAAUUAUUUAAUCUACAUAUAAAAAUUAUAAUAAUAAUAUAUAUAGUAUAUUAAUUAUUAUUAUAUAAUAAUAUAUAUAUAAUAAAAAAUAUAUUAAAUAUGUUUUUAUUUAUUUUUCUUUUCCUUUCAACCAAACAACCUUCAUCGAAAAUUAUUUUUCUUUUUUUACAAACCAAACACUAAGCUACGUAAAAAAAAUUUUCCACCGAAACUUUUUUCCACCGAAAUUUUUUUUUCGCAGUUUUACCUCAAACCAAACAGCCCCUAAAUUUAUUUCUAAAUGAAACAAACGAAGCGAGUAGCGUGCUACCUAUCUCUCAAAAAAAAAAAAAACUAAAUCUCAAAUAUCAUUAUUAAACCCUAUGUAUUAUUAUUACACGCUAAACUCUCAGCUUUAAAUCUUGUAUAUAUACAUUUCAACAUACCAGCAAUAUUAUAGAUUACAAAUUUUGGCAUACAUCUUCAAUAAAUAUAAGCAGAAUUAAAAUUUUCAAAAAAUAUUUAAAAUUAACAAAAUUAAGUCCAACCGGCUUUAUCCUCUUCAACAGUCCGAUCAUACCUAACACGAAGGGGUUAGUUAUGAUUGAGUGUUGGAUCAAGUUGAAAAAUGUCAUGGUCACAUCGAAUUGAUUUUAUUUGAGCAAAUACUACUCUUGGACUCAUAAACUAGCUAGGUGUAUAUUUACUUAAUAUCUUUUGCAUCUCAUGGCUUAUAUUCUCCUACUAGACUAAUUUAAUAUAUAUAUUUUUUCCUAAAAAUCUAAAUGAGUCUUUGUGAAUUCUAAGAAGGGUGAAUUGUAAGAUUUAAACCCCUAGAUGUACAGGCAGCAUUUUGUAAUUUUUUUAGGCCGGCAAUUUAGAGUAAUACUGUCUGUAAACUAGAUGUACAUUUUACAUUAUUUGGCCGAAGACUUUUCACUUAUCGAUUAGUCUUGUCAAUCUUUUUUUUUUUAAAAAAAAUUAAAACUCUUUUAAAUUUUAUAAACCUUGGAUUCAAGAGGUGUGAGAUUUAAAAACACGCGUGCGCGCACACACACACAUAUAUAUACAUACAUGUAGCAUUUUUCGACAAAUUAUUCUAAUUUUCAAGCUUAGUAAUUUUAAUCUAAAAAAUUUAUAACAUUUUGGAUCGCAUUGUCAAAGUAUAGUUUACACUGUUAGCGGAGAGAUGUGUAGUUGAAAGGCUGUUUAUGUACGAGUCAUUUUAUUCUGGUGGCGUAUAUCUUAGGAUUCUUAGCCUAUUGUAGCUAAAAAUGGCAUAUUGAUUAGUUCACUAUACAUUGAUGUAUUAUUGUGAAAUCUCAUUAAUGCCUCCAAGUUUUUAAUUUGUUGAAAUUAAUACAUUGAUAUUCAAUUUUAUUUUAAGGAGCGUUUGGCUAUGCAUGCAUUGGAGUGCGCGUUCACGACACGUAAUAGCGCAUGAAGCUAUACUGGAGAGAAGCUCCGCAAGCAGAGCUGUUUAUAUCCAAAAGUCGUACGGUGCGGUCCUCUCACAGAGCGGCUAAACAUCACUUUAGUCACAAUCCAUUUACAUGAUAAUCUUUAUAACUUAUGUAUUCCGUUACAAUUCACAGUUAAUUAGCAUGGUAAUAUAAGAUUAAGUUAUUUAUCAAAUUUUUAGCAAAAAAUAAUAAGCCGUAUGGCGUGAUAGAAACAAAAAAAUUGAAGCCAGUGCACAGCUACUGUAAAUUAAAAUUUGCUGAAAAAAAAUAAUGUCCCCUACUCACGUGACCAUCACUCACCAGUCACGUGAUUUUGAUCCUAAACAAUUCGAACGUUACCCAUCCUCUAUACUCCAUUCCACUCGAAGCUCAGCAUCCCCAACCAUGGCGACGACGAUCGCCAUGGCCCUAACCCUUCCUCCUCCUCCCUCUCUCGAGCUCGCUCGAGACCUCCGAUGGCGCAACCCCCUCCGCAUCCACCCCCUUCGCCUUCGCCCGCUCCAAGCGUUGCGGCGGGGGGAGUCCUCUCCCCUUCCUCCGACGCUACGAGCCCUCGGCGGGAGCUCCGCCGCCGCUCCCUCCGAGGCGGUUGCUGAGGGUGAAGAAAAGGAGGAAGAGGAGACCUUCACGCUCCUCGCUUCCAUUACGAGUCGAUACAAUGAGAUCACGAUCGUGGAUAGCCCCAAAUCGAGGCUCUUACUCCUCGACAACAGCGGUAAGAACCCACUUCGAUAACCCCAUUGAAUUCCUGUGAGACCCAUCCUGUAUGAUGAGUUUGACGAUAUGGAUUUUGGUAAAAAAUUGUGCAACUAUUACUCCAUUUUCGUAUUCUGAUUCAAAAAAGACGUCCCUCGAAAGAGAGAAGAUGCUCUUGGUUUUUCUCCGGUUUUCCUUUUUAUCUUCUCAUAAUAUACAACAGAUCUCCAGUUAUUUGUGCUCAAGCUUCCCUGGAUUGAUCUAGCUGAUUCAUUAUUGUUAAGAAAACAAUUGGAUGACGAAGACUAAGCCAACAACGAGCUUUCUUAUUUUUUGUCCUUGUUCUGUUUUGAGCACAGGCAACAUUCAUAGCAUGAUUAAGAAGGAGAAUUUGUGGACGGGCUCUUAUUGGGUAAGGGGGUAACUUAUUAAUCCUACCAUCCUUUUUCUUUACAACUAGUAAAGAAAUGGACCAAUUAAUGCUAUUCUGAGAAUCCAGGACAUGAGAUAUUCGAUGUUGUUGAAUCAAUUGUUGGAUGUAAAUCGGCAGCUUUGUCUAUCAUAAUGAGGAUUUUCACCUUUUCAAACUUCUUUGAGGGCUAAUUAUUCCUCUCUAUUAUUUGAAUUUAGCUUAAUGCUGUAAUUUUAAUGUACGAUGCUCAGAGAUGUUCAAAGUUGUUUCCUUCCAUAAUUAUUAACUGAUUGAAUUGUUUACCAUAAUCACUUCUUGUAUCUAUUCUACAUUCUUAUAUCUGUAACUAUAUGUAUGUAAUACAUAUACAUAUACAUCUUUAUGCCUAUAUAUAUAUACACACACACACAUGUGUAUAUGAAUUGUUGAGAAUGUUCUUUACCUGAAAAAUUUAUGCACUUAUGCAUCUGUGAAGACGAAGAAAAGCCCAUUCCAUUAGUUUCUUUAAGAUGAUGAUAGCCAACUUUUGUAGCCUUUAACCGAGACAUGUAUAGCAUGACAACAGGUCUUUAUUAACCAUUACAAAAGGCUGAUAUUACUCAGUAGGGACCUAUGAUAAUCCUAUUAUUACAUAAGAUGGUCAUUUGCUCUUGCAAUUUUUAUUUGGCCAUUAUGCUAUGUGCUGAUUAAUGUAAAUACACAAUAAAGGUUUUUUUUUGUAUUACUUGUUUGUCAUGAUCCAGCCUUUCCUGGCUCUAUUUCUCUCUGUUAUAUAAUGAAAGAUCAUUUUUUUUUUCCUCUUGAUCUGCUUGCAUCCUGUACAGGAUGAGUUUGCAAGUCUUCCUGCUAUCAUUCCACAUGGACCAAUUGCUAUAUUAGGAUUGGUAAAUCAGUCUUAUUCUCAAUUUCUAUAAUCCUUAUAUCUUGCAUUUUAAUAUCCUAGAAGAUGUUUAAAUAACAGCUUUUUUUAAUUUGUCUCUUUCAGGGUGCUGGAACUGCAGCACGGUUGAUGCUCGAAUUAUGGCCUUCAUUGCACCUUAUCGGUUGGGAAAUUGAUGAGACGGUAAGGAACACCACUAUAAGUUGUAAAAUUAUAGCUUGCCAUCUGUAACUUUACCUUCUCAUUCUUUUGAUGACUCCUGAUCAAACUUAAUCUUGUCAAUAUUCUCCGUCCCUUUUUAUGCCUUUCGAUACUAAUCCCUGAUUAGAUUUUACUAGUUGGUUGGAACACUUACCUUCUGAUUGACUUCACAAAAAGAUACUUUUACAUUAUGAAGGACAUGCAGAGCCUUUUUAUGAUUAAUCUGUAAGGAACUCCCUGCAGAAUUCUGCCCUAUAGAAGGCUAGGAAACUUUCGCUAUUUCUGAAAGCUGGGGAAACCGCAGCUCCAGGGCAUACUGUAGCUUCAAUACUGACUGGCUGUAUCGUGGUGCAAUAUCUUUUAGUUAAAUCUUUUAAUAUAAUUGUCCAUCUAGGUCCAUUGAUUGUUGUUUUUGAACUUGGUGUUUUAUUUCACGUAACUUCUUUCAAUAAUAAAAUGUUGUGCACACUCAUUGUGAUGAUACGCGUAUGAUUUACUGCUAGCAAAUGUGUCAAACACACAAUCGACACGUGUAACUACUUUGAUGGAAUCUGUAUCUUUGAUCUUUACUCUUCCUUUUUCAGCCUUCCAUUUUAUGAUUUUGCUAGCUCUUCAAACAUAACAUUCUUAUCAUGAAAUCACUUCUUAUUCAGAUAUGACAUAAAGACUGCUUUCUAACAGUUGAUUUAUAUGGCAAGGGAGUACUUUGGUCUAUCAAAUUUAGAGAAAUGCACCAAGUCUGGUGGCUCACUUUCUGUUCAAAUUGGGGAUGCUCUCUCUCCAUCUGCUACAGUUGAAGGAGGGUUCGCUGGUAAACUAAACUGUCUUAAGACACAUGCACAAUCUAUCGACAGUAAGAUGCUUCUUAUACUUGCAUCAUGUUGAUGUUCUUUAUCUAUGAAUCAGGCUUCUUCCUUGUGAUUUGCCUACGUAUUGUUUGUCUCUUCUCAACAAAUCUAAACAUUCGAUCAUCUAGCAUUGAUAUCCUUAUUGCAUGUGCAUCCCGGGACCCAAACCUUGUUUUUUUGUGGGAACACAGGGCUUUACUAUUGGGUUUGAAUGGUAUAUGGCUUUUGAAUAUUUACUUUAGAAUAAUACUUAAUGCAUGUCGUAUUACAGGUAUUAUCGUGGAUUUAUUUUCCGAUGGAAAGAUUUUACCUCAACUAGAGGAGGUACUUACUUAUUCGGUCUUCUUACUUUCCUCAUUAUGACCUUGUUUGGAUACAUGAAUAUCUUGUUUGGUAUAUCUUGUAGAUUUAUUAAAGAAACUUGUACAUUUGGCAGAUAAGGAGUGUGAUGAAAUGUCGAGAAUUGAAUACCAUAUUAGGUCCUUAAGUCAUUUCUUUGGAUAAAUCACUAGGUAGGUGAAAUAUAUUAUCUUACCAAAUCUUGGCUAUUAAGACAUUUCGAGGAACGAAAAUUCAAAUUCCUUUCUUACAAUUACACUAGUAAAUUCUCAUACCGAAUAAGUUAUCCAAUGAUAAACUUAUUCCGACAUCUAAAUAGGGCCUGAAUGUUUGUAUCCAUUGCACAGCCUAAAUGUUAGCUCGCUAUAUUUAGUUUUGAUAUCUUGGCUGUGUAUAAUUAAAUGAUGUUUCUAUAGCAUUUAGCCUCUUUGAUUUCCUUCAUCUUAACAUGCAGAUAUAAGUGGAUAUGAACAUGAAUGAUCAGCUUGUUUAUCCGUACAAAAGUUAGUUAGUUAGAUGAGUCAUCGUCAUUAUUGUAUCAUCACCUACCCAACCUUUUACCUGUUGGGCCUGUUGGAAAGCUUCUGACAGAUAUGAAGGCUCUGAAAGUAUCGGUAAUCUUUUACAACAGGUUGUUAAUUGACAUAAAAACAUAUUCUUUUCUAAACAUGGCUCAGUAAGAACACCACUCAAAUUAUGAAAAGGCAUAGGAAGAUCAUGGUAUUUGGUUCUCUGUUGACCUGGCACCAAAUUUUAAUGUUUUCUCAUGAUGCAAACCUUAAAUUUAGGCAUCCUUUAACUAAAUGCCAAUAACAUAUAUAUUUUUUCCACUCUUAGGCAACAUUUUUAUGUUCAUCUUGACUCAAUUAGCAUUAAUCAUUUCGUUCUCUCCUCAGUUAUUACUGUGAUUAAAUAUCAUCAGAUUGCUUCUAAGAAUGAGUAUCCUUUCCUUGAAUGUAAGAAAGAUCCAAGAUUAAUGAGCGAUGUCAUUUUUUUUUCCCUUCUUUUGUUUAACAUGUGGUUGAACUAUAAUCCGCUUAUUUAAAUUGUCACAUGUUUCUUUAAUGUCAUUUGAUAGCAAAAUGUACCACAGGUUGAGACAUGGUUGGAAAUUGAGAAAAAGUUGAUGCCGCAUGGUCGGAUCAUGGUAAAUUGCGCUGGAAAAAAUGCUGAAGCAUCUAAUGAUGGAGAUAGAACAGCGCCUACUAAUGUUUUAGCCAUUACAUCUUGGAUGAAGAACUCUACAAUAAAGACACUUUGUCGUGCAUUUCCUGGAAAAGUAUAUGAGUUCUUCUCUCUACACUCAAUUUUGAAAUGUUUCAGAGCAAGGCAAACACAAAAAUAUAGCAUCUUUGACCAAAAAGUAUGAAGUAAAAAUUUGUUUUCUAAACAACCGUUAAUUUGGACAAACUACAAUUUUUGAAAAAAUGAUGCUAAGAGUAGAUAAAUAGGUAACAAUCUUCAAAUUUCAGUUAAGCGUGUGACGCCUAUGGCUAUUAGUAAUUUCCAUUUGUCUUUUCUAACCCAAAGAAGGUACCAAAAUUCAGGUAAGCUGGAAGAAAAUGGAAGGAGAGGAUAACUAUCUUGCGCUCACUGGUCCACCACCAGACUUGGACACUUGGUCAGCUGCCGUGCCGAGCCAGCUGAGCUUGAGUGCCAAACAGUGGAAACCUUGUGAACUGGACUGACGAUGCUUAUGUUCCCUUUCCCUGCACAAAAGGGCCUCCUAUUUGGUUCACAAUCUCCGUUAAUUUGAUCUUUUUGAUCCAUCCAACGGAAACUCUUAUUACUGAAGCAAUAUCUUUCAAUGUGACAAUCGCUAAAGCGGUAUGUUUUCUUUGGUUCCAUUUUCUCUUCUUGCAAGAGAAGUAUUGCACUCUGAUAUGCAAAUACAGGUUUUUUCUUAAUUGUUUUGAACUUCUGUAAGAUGUGCAAUUUUAUGUAGGUGAUUGAUGAAGCGACAGCUUGCCUGCUGCGGCAGCUUGCUUCCAAAAACUGUGGAAUUACUAUCUAUGUUCACCUACUUCGGUCCAACAAAUUUUAAGCUGUGCACGUCCCUAUUUCAGCUCGGCAUUCUCUCUUAGUAAGUAUGCUUCACUGCACCCCUGUUUUCUCGUCAAAAUUUAAAACACAAAAGCGGUAUCAUUGUGAACUCACAAUUUUUAAUAAACACCAGACAAGGAAGUGAACACUGCAUUAUUCCAACAUGUGUUGGUUUUUACGAUUGUAUAUUUCUUGAACAUAAGGAAUCAUUGGCGUCUCUAUUUGGUUUUUACAAUUGUAUAUAUUGUUAUGCAGUUCAUAAAUCUUACGUUGUGAUUAAUUAGAUGCAGUUAUCAAUUCUUGUUCUCUCGUCACUUUACUACUAUCGAACAACAUCACCAUGGUGAUCAUUUGAACUGCUAUGUAAUUGCAACGAACUGUUUCCAAAACUUUAUGUAAUUAUAACAUUGAUUAUUCAAAGGUUAACAUAAAAAUGCUUUGUUUCCAUGCCUCGAUUAGUUUCUUAAGCCUUUCUAUAUCUUGUCUUAAGACCAACUCCUGUGGUUAUGCACAUUAACUGUUCUUCACUGCGCGAGGUGAAGAAGUCGAUGUAAGAGUUUCAUUUUCGUGUCAAAGAUGUUUAUACUGUCAUGGAAAAAAUUGCGAUUGGAAAUUCCGUAGAAGUGUAGUUUGUGUGAAAAUCUUCCUCACCGUGACCUUUAUUAAUGAUUCCAUUUUCGAGUACCCAUAUUAUACUUAUCCAUCCGAUAAGAUAAAUAAUAAUUAUUUUUUGAAAUACCUACAUUAUCUUAUCCAUCCGAUAAGAUAAUUAAAGCAGCUGGGUGUGUAUCAUUUGAUCACUUAAUAAAAGAUAACCAAUUCUAAAGACGUAAUUAAAAAAUAUUUUGAUGCUGGAAGAAGUAAUUUGGUAAUACCAUCUCUAUAAAUUUGGCACCUAUUCAUCCCACGGUCAGUAUUUCACACUUGUCCUAUUAAUAUUUUUUUAAUAUUAAAAAGCUAAAAUGAGUUGUUUAAAUAUUUGGAUUGAGGGUUAUAUAAGAUGUACAUCUAUGUUUUCUUGGAUGUAGUGAUAACAUUUUUCCGAGUAAUUUGGUGAGCAAAUAUUCACGCUUCUAAAAAACGCUUUCACAUCAAUCUAGUUUAUGUGAUUACAUCGGACUUUCAUAUUUUAGCUAUUGUGAGGUCGACCUCCCUAACUUUGGCAAGCAAAAACCAAGAGGAAGUUGGGUCAGGUACAUUAUAACCUAAUUAUUAUUAUCUUAAUUCCCCCACGGUUUUGAUCCUUGAAUCUAAAUAAAUAUGAUACGCAUCAAACAAACAAUAUUGGUAUUAGUUGGUGAGCUGCACAACUAGAACCCACCUAUUAGGGCAAAACCCAGCUCUCCGCUUCAACAAGCCUAGCCUAGUCAAAAAAAGCAUGCCUUUUUCCGAUCACCAACCCUAACCAUGCCCUUGUAGGAGAACAAUAUAAAAGAAGAUCUCAACAGUGGAAGAAAAGUACAAUAUUAUCAAAACAGGGGUUAACCCAAAAAGAAAAGAAAAAACAAACAAAAGAGAAACAUAUUGGGAAAGUGCAUGUUUGCCGAUAUGGAGAGAGCUUUGAUAUGGUGUUGUUGCAUGCUAGCAAUAUUGGGUGCACAAAUAUCAGUCUCAGGAGCUCAGGACUCGGCUUGUUUGAACCAGCUGGUCCCUUGCCUGCAGUACAUCAACUCGAAACAGACUCCCUCGAGCAGCUGCUGCAGCCCUCUCAAGUCGCUCAUCACGUCGGAUCCGCAGUGCCUCUGCAGCAUGCUGACGAGCAACUCCGCGACUCAGCAAGCCGGCGUUAACGUGACUCAGGCCCUGCUCCUGCCCACGAGGUGCGGAGAGAGGGUGAAUGCUGGAUUGUGCACGAGUAAGCGUCUUCGUGGAUCACAGAAAUACUUUUCUAGUUGUUCAUGAGAGUCAUUCGAUUCUUAGGUAUCAAACAACAUAGACAUAUAGUGGCUAGUGUGAGAUUCUAGCCAAUUCCUGGUACUAGUGUGAGUUGCUGAACCAAAUGGUCUCCUCACUCAGAGAUUAACUCAAAAACUUGGGUUGCUUUUAGACUUUAUAAUAUAUUAAAAUGUGCAUGGCUGUGACGCAUAUAUAUGCAUGCUUUUUGCAGGUUCACAAAAGAAGAGGAAUGCAGUUUCAAGCUCCGCGGGCGAGUUGGUAUUUGCAAAUGCAGUGAUGGUUGCUGUGCUGUUGUUCAUUGUUCAGAGCCUGUGGCUUUUACAUGAAUGAUUGGCUGGGAAUGCUUUCUUUUCAAUCCUGCUGGAUUUUAUACAUAGAAAUAACUAUUAUUUGAGCCUCUGUUUUUGUAAGUUCCGAUUCUUGUAUUUGGUUGUAAUCAUUUGACAAAAAUAAUAUAUUCUUUUCAGUGGUAAAAUGAUAUGAAAAUUGAGGUUGCCAAUUUACAUCUUUUACUAAAGCAAUGCUAGCAGCACACCUACAUUCUAGCCAUAAAUUUUAUACCUUAAGCUUUCUCUGUAACUAGAAUUCAUUCACUAGUCUUAUCAAAAAAAAAUAUAUUUUUCCCACUAAAGAUCCAAAAUUUUUUCUAAAUCUUAGAAUUCAAGGGUGUAAGAUACACGUUUCUAUAUAGGAUAUACAUAUAACAUUUUUCUAUUUACUAAGAGAGUGUUUGGUUCCUCGAAAAAGUACGAAAGAAAUUUUUUCAAGAUAAAAGUUUUCUAUGAAAAAUACUUUUUUCCACAAUUUUUCUUUUUCCCGAUAAAAAAAAAAUCAGAAAACAAAGGUAAUAAUUUUUAAAAAAAUUUUAUAUUCUAGGAACCAUGCGGACGAAAAUUACCUUUCCAACCAAAAUAUUAUUAUCUAAUAUAUUUUUCGAAAAACCAAACACCCUAAGGCCCAUAUUGAGAAUAUAGCUCUUAAAAAUUAGCAAUUCCGAAUUACUCCAUGCAUUAGCACAAAAGUAGGAAGAACCCUAAAAACAAAGUACAUAGAAAGACAAUGUGCAAAAAAAACUGUCUACAUAUUGCACAUCUCAGAUUACAGAGUCAUAUCUAGCAUUUAUGCGCUUACAAAAGAGAGAUCUCAAAAAGUUGCCAAAUAUACAGAAAUCAAAUUUUAUCACUCACAUAAGCAGAAUAAAAGACUGCCAAAACACCGAGAGAAAGGCCCAGCAGAAGUCCGGAUGGCACAAAUUUUCGAGUGUUAGCCAACCGUAUACCUGUAAAUGCGAAACAAACAGUUAAUUACGUAUUCUAUUAUGCCUUCAUGAGUGCUUAAAAAACAACACGAAUGUGAAGAAAGGAUUAUACCAAAUACAGAAGCAAAGAGUAAUGCGGAUCCGAACCCAAUUGCAUCACCUACUUCCUUCGUCUCAGGCGAUUGCAUCAGGUAAUAGGCCUACAUAGAGAUUAAUAUCCAAUAAGCUAAAUGACGAAUGAUACUAAUAAGCUACUAAAAAAGGCAUUAAGCCGCAAUAUAUUAAUAACGAGAGUUCUCAGGCUAGAGCACAAUAGUUGUAUUGUUAGAAUGAAGGCGGAGAAAUAAUUUCUCCCAUGAUUACAUUUCAUUAAGAAGUGAGAAAGUGAGAGAUGAUUGCUUGCGAAAAACUUGUUGAGAGAGCAUCUAACAAUUAUUGUGUUGAUUCACAAUAAUCUAACCAACCGUCCCUAGAGCAAGUGGCAAAGGACUUGGUGGUUGGAACCUAAGACCCAAGUUCGAAUCCUAGUUGAUUCAUAUUUCCAGCUAAGUUUAUUUCUAAAUGAAAUAAACGAAGCGGGUAGCGUGCUACCUAUUUCUCAAAUGCAUGCAACUCUAUUCUCACUAGACUGAAGCCACCGUAAAAACGCACAGAUGAGGCAUUUCGCUGAGUAACUAAGGCUAUUUGACAGCCGAGUUAGGUUAGGUAGCAAUUAUAAACCUUAACGCGAUGCAUUAUAGACUGAAAAUUCUCAGGCUUCGUUUGGAACUAUGGGGAGACGAGAAAAAUAUUCAGUUUGUUUCCAUAGACAAUACCAAUAACCAUUGUGUAGAUCGCAACAGUUUUUUUUUCCCUCCCUGAAACAUAUCCUAGAAUUAGAUCUUCAUUAUCUAAACGGACCCGGAACAUACCGUUGGGAAGUGAUUCAGUAAUUAAACCCUCAUGAAUCAAUUUUUGUUCUUUCAUUCCAGGUAACCUCCUUGAAGUAUCAACUAAUGGAGGAAGAGUUAUAUAACUCACUUUUCCUCUCUAUUUUACAAAUAGGAAGUUAGAGAUCAAAUUCGGAUACCAGAGGUGGAAGAUUACCAUAUAUAACACAAAAUUUCUCCUCCAGUUUUUUUUUCUCAACUCUUUUAUGCUUAAUAGGAGUUAGAAUGUGAUCAAUAACAGCUAAAGCUGGCAAAAAAACACUUGUCCUGUAAAUCCAGUCCAAAUGUACUGAGAUUCAAUAGUAAAUAGUGAAUAAUAGAUAGCAGAUGCGUCUUUGGAGUUUACAUUCUCUUUGUUUAGACAAAGAAUAUUGCGGGAAAAGUCAAUCUAAAAAAAAAAAAAAGGGGAAAAAAAAACCACACAAAAGCAGAAGAACAGCUACUUAAUUACCACAGCCAUAAGAGCAGAUCCGGAGAGUCCUCCGAGAAUGGAUCCUUUGCUCCCCGAUCUCAAAUCUACGACAAACUCACAGGGUAAGAGAUCAAUCGCUCGAGCAAAAUAAAUAAACACAACAAAUGAAAAACAAGAAGAGCGAGAGAGAGAGAGAGAGAGAGAGGAGUGAGUGCGCACAAGCGAAGAGGCCGCCGCCGAGGAGGAGGGUGCCGUAGGCGGCGGAGGCGGCUGGGGCGAGGUCGGCGAGGAGCUGCGCGCCGCAGCGGCGGAGGCGGCGCAGAGGAAGGGGAAGGAGCGAGACGGCGCUCUUCCGGUCGAGGAGGAGAGAAGAGGGGGAAGGGGAAGCGAGGGGGCCGCGGAGGAGAGACGAAGCGUACGCCACCGGCGAGGCCGACAUAGCGCCCCUGCGAUGGUUUUCCCCGCGGAGGGUCGGCUGAGUCGAGCAGCGGCGGAUGAGGGACAUGCCAGACCUCACGGGUCAAACACCUUCCGCCCUGCAGCCGCACGUGACGCAACCAUACUAUUCACGAAAAUAUAUAUUAUUAUAUAUUAUAUAUAUAAAAGGGCAAUUACUUAUAUAUUUUUAAAAAAUUUUUGACUCCCUUAUUUAUCUUUCUUAAAAAAUUAAUAUUAAAAAUAUCUUUUUUACAUUUCAACCUAUUUCAAAUAUACUUCUAGUAUUUUGAUUUUUGAUCUUUUCAAAUAGACCCUUCUACCGUUAUCAAUAUUUCUUAUUUGUUCUUAAGUUAAAGGCAUAAUUGGUAUUUUAAUUUUUUUUAACUGUGAUAAAUAUUUAACUCACGUUUAACCCAUAUUUACUUAACAGUAGAUAAUUGUGGGAGUAUUUUAUAAUAACGGUGGAACAUAUGAAAAAUAUUUUAGAAAAAAAAAAAAAAUAUAAAUAAAUCAAAUAUUUUCAAACGUAUAAAAAUAUAUAGACAAUUAUUCCUAUAAAAAAUAUUCUUAACUAACCUUACUAUGUAUGUAUGUACUGUGUAAGGGCCUUUUGGCUGACGUAAUUGAAAACACAGUAGAGCCGGAGAUGCUUAUAGUUAAAAGAGAAAUACUAGUAGUACACCCAAGAGGGAUGUACAUUUUACAUUUUAUUCAUCUUUAAAUAAAAUUUAUCUAUCGAUAUGAUCGAUGGAUUAUACUAUACUCUAGAAUAUAUGAUGUAAGAUAUAUACUCACUAAUAAUUUCCUAAUUAUUAAUAUCUUAGGUAUAAAUAAAGCAAGUACUAUUAGGAGUACAAUAAUUCUUGUAUUUUUAACUUUUUAAUUGUCUAUCAAUUGUGACGAAUAAUUAGGAUAAGAAAGAGAAAAGAAAUUGAAGAGAAAUUCAAAGAAAAUAAAAAUUGAAUGUAGUUGAAAUGUAUAAUUUUAAAAUUUUGUCGUUUUAUUUAUAUGGUAAUGAGAUUAUCGCCAAUAUAAAAUAAAAAUUAUUUUGUAUUUAAAAAGUAAUUACAAAGGAAAACUUACGUUUGGUUUAAAAUUAUUCUCUUUAAUUGUUGCAGUUAAAAUUAUAGCUAAUUUGAGCGUAGUUUUUAUCUGUAGUAGUUAAAUUAAAAUACAUCAAAUCAAACACCGAAUUAGAAUAUAAAUAUAUUUUCAACUAUAUUGUAAUUAUAACUAUAUAUAAUGAAACAACUCUAAGAUGAAAAAUGAUCGAAUGAAAAAUAUAUUAAAAUAAUAUUUUAAAAUUGUAAUAUAGAAAUCUUUAUUACAUAUUGUUAUCUUUAUAUGAAAUAUAUGUGAUAAAAAUUAAAGACUACAAACUUCUUAAACUUGGAGCUUUUUCUCAUUUACACUUUACUACUAUCCAAAAUUUUCAAGCAUAUUCUAAAAAAUUAUCAAAAUAUCUUUUUAAAAUUCAAUCUCAUUACUAAACCUUAGGAGAAAGAGAGAUAUUUGAAGAAAUUUUUUAAAAUCAACAAGAGCAAUUUGGUCGUUCAGAAAUAAAUAAGAUAUUUUUAAAAUUUUAAAGAAUAUAUUAGAUAUUUUUAGCCCAACAAAUUUUAAGAGAAAUAAAAUAAUAUGAAAUGCAAUGCAUUUUUUUUCACUUUUAAAUUUCACUAAAAAAGAUGCAUCGGAGAGGAGCACUAGUGUGUAGAAUAUUUUUGUACGUGAGAAUUGUAAGAUAUUCUUUAUAAAAGCCACUUUUUAUAAAUAGCAGGAGGACAAACCUUUCUAGAAAGCACCGCGUUACAUGGGAUAAAAAUUUUAUGGACAUUGUGUCCAUCUAAAGCAAUUUGGGGAUGUCAUGGAAGGAAUGCCGCAUGGCACCUACCCCACGAGUUUUUUUUCUGGUGAACCUGGUGCAUCGUUUUUUUACUUUAAAAUUUUAUUUUUUACUUUUUAAUUAUAAUUAAAUAUAACAUAUAUAUUAUAUAUUUUAAAAAUAUAUGUAAAAAAAUUUAUAGUUUAGGAUUUAAAAUUCUUUUACAUAUAUUUUUAAAUGUCAUAAAAUAUAUCUCUAUUAUUAUAUUAAAUUAUAAUUAAAAAUAAAAAAAUAAUUUUAGAGUAAAAAACGGUGCACCAGGUGCACCAGAACAAAUCCCAGUGCUCUUCAAAAUGGCCGAGCAGCGGUGGCACGUGGCGGGUUACACGGCGCCCAUCGGAAAAGUCCGGGUGCCACAUGGCAUUCAUCUGCAUCAUCCCCAAAUUAGUAUAUGCGGACAUAGUGUCCAUAAAAUUUUUGUCCCGUUACAUGUCCUUGGAUAACACCAGUAAAUGAAUGCGACAAUUAAUUGCUGUGCUUCUUGCUUUUAUUUUUCCAAAUUUUCAUUGUUCUCUCUUUUUUUUUUAUUUGAAAUAGAUGUAAAGUUUUUUGUUUUGAGAGAAAGAUAGCGUGCUAUAUGUUUCGUUUAUUUUAUUUAAAAAUAAAUUAGUUAGAAAUAUAAAUCAACUAGGAUUCGAACUUGAGUCUCGAGUACCAACCACCAAGCCCUUUAAACAUUUGCUCUAAGGAUGUAAAGUUAUUACGAACGACAUAGAAUUUAUAUAAUUACGCAACUUGAAACCACACUCUUUAGAAUUCGGUUCAGGUAUGAUUCGGAAACAAUAGUAUUAUUCCAUCCAAAUUGACAUGCAAACUACAAGUGUUCAAGAAGAUAAACCAACAUAAUCAGAUCUAUUUAUUUCUUGCGUGUGUAUAUCUGUAGGAAAUAAAUUAAUUCUAACAUUCUUCGCCCUACAUCUAUAUUCUUAAUUGGAAUGAAUGAAUUUCGGUCAAUUUUCGUAAUUCAUGCAUCCCAAAAAAUGAAAAAAAAGGAAACAAGAAGAUCGAGCAGGAGUUCCUACUCCAGAAGUAAGAUUAUGUAUGUAGCAGCAAAUGCUCAUGUGGUGGCAUGAACAAGCGGGGACUGCGGCGACAUCAGGGACGGGCUACGGCUGAUCUCGACUUCGAACCUCCUCGGCAAAUCUAUUCUCAAGACCGAAUUAUCCCAUUUCUUCUUCUUCUUCACCAUCCUCGCCUCCGCAUUGGCCCUGUUAAUGCGGCACACGAAAGUCCUGAUCCUCUUAAGCGCGACCCGCGUCGUGUCGUCGUCCAUAUUCGCGAUGCAGACCCUGAACCAACCUGGCUCGGCGCAAUGAAACGACGAACCGGGGGACACAUUGAGCUUGACAUUGUUCACUAUCACGCGCCACAGCUCGAGCUCGCCGUCUUCGGUGGCUUCUUUGAGGAGGUGCCGUAGGUCCAUCCAGCAGAAGACCCCGGCAUUGCCGUCCAAGCAGCGGAUGCCGACUUCCUCAAGGCCGGAAGAGAAGAUCCUGUGCCUCUCCGACAGCCUCUUCGCGCUUUCAGUCAGUAAUGUUGCCAAAAAUUCUUCGUCGGAUAGCAUGGCGCCCAGUAGGUGCUGUGUCUGCGACGAGACGAGGCCGAAGCUCGACAUUCUGCGUGCGCAACUAACCACCGUGUCGUUGUAGGAAUACACGAUCCCGACUCGGAAUCCGGGGAGGCCGAAGUCCUUUGAGAGACUGUACGCAAUGUGGAUCAGAUUCUUGUCGCAGUUCGGGUCCUCUUCUAUUACCUCGGAGAUGCUGACGAACCUGGGCUCCCUAAAGAUGGUUGCGCCGUAUAACUCGUCGCAGACUAGGUGGAUUCUCCUUUCGUUUACGAAUUUCACGAGGGUCUGUAGCGUGUGUUUAUCCAUGGUCGUGCCGAGCGGGUUGGAUGGGUUGGUUAUCAGUACUCCUUUUACUCUGAUGUUAUCCUUUCGCGCCUUCUCGUAUGCCGAUUCUAGCGCCGUUUUGGUGACUCUGAAGUGAUUAGAGCUCUUGCAGUGAACCGGGAGGAGCUCGACGCCCGUUCUCCACCGGAGAUCGCGAUUAAAUCUGUUUAAUUACAGCAUCAUGAGCAAUUGAAAAGAGAACUUCAAAAGAGAGUAGUUUCAGGAAACGAAAACAGUCAGAAUUCUAGAUAACUACACACUCUCUGUGCUCAUAUAUUCGUCCUAAUAGUUUGUUAAUUAAUUAAGCAGAGGUUUGACAAACGGAAAAUUUUAAGAUUUUUCAAUGUUAGGAAGUCUAAAGAAUUUUUGGAUCCUGAAAUGGAUGCUACAAAUUUAGGCAUCUCCUUCUACUACUUGCCGAAUUAUAUAUCAGAGGCUUAUGAUAAAAAAAAUCAUUGAUAUUUGUUUCAAUAAUUUUACAAAAGCAGCACUUUUUCCUUUACUAUAAGAUUAUUAUUAUUUUUUUAUCUUUAAUAUUUGACUAGCAUUAAAGAAGGAACCUUUUGAUAUCCCAGAUGCCUAAACACGAGAACUGAGAACUUACAGUUCCCACAACUUCAAAAGAGCUAUAUAAUUUUUUAGCAGAUAAAAAUUAAAGGAGGGCUAUAUAUGGUUACUUCAAAUUUAUGAGAGGCAACUGAUUUGGUUACGUAGAGCUGAUGAUCUUACGCUGGAUAGUACGGAGUUGGGACGAGGAAGGCGUCGCCAGGGUCAGCGAGACAAAACGCGAGCGUUUCUUGCGCUCCAGUGCCUCCGCCGCUCAUCACCACGCGGUUCGGAUCGAAUUUGACCCUUCCUCCUCUCACUUUCUCCAUCAAUUUCGCGAUUCCCUGCGUGUUUUGACAUAUCACAUCAGUAUACAUACCUAACUUGCGAUCGCAAAUAGACUCAUCUGCUGAUCGAUGGUCCACGAAUGCGACAUGUCCAUUAAAAUAUUAGAAUGAUUGAUCGUCUCGUCUCUAAGUUUUACUUUAUAUAUGAUGACAGCUGUGAAAUACUUACGAGUCGCCCACGACAACUAUACGUACUAACUGUAACCGGAUCCUUUAUUCGUCGCCUUUUUUUUGUCCUCGAAACUCAUUUAAGGAUGUUGACAAUCGUACAAAGGUGGUAGGCCUACACCACUUGUAUACUAAUAGUGAGAAAUGUUUUUUUUUAAAAAAAAAUUAUUGCUUGGACCGUAAGAUAGUUUGUUGAUUUGGUGGUUGAAAUGAUUAUUAAUUUGGUAGCUGAUAAAAAGAAUACAAUAUAUAAUAAGCUUUUUCGUAUUAGCUUUUUAAUUUAAUUCAAGUUAAGAGUAAAGUAAUUGAGAGGAUUAAGAUCACUUUGACCACACUUGACAUGAUUUUCAUUUUUUUUUUUUUUUUUUUUUUUUGUACGUUCCAAUUUCAUUUUCAUUAGUGUUCACCUGCAGAAAAGCCGGCAAGCCAUGGUAGUCUUGGAAAUUGGCGAUCUCCAUGAACUGCGGCAGGCCCUCCGCCGAGCAAAUGGAGGCCUCCGGGUGAUUCUUGAUCCACUCACGUAUUAACUCCAGCGAAAGCUGCAAUAAUAGAAAAAAGAAGAAAAAAAAAAAAAAAACACAUAUCCAACACUAGUUAAUUAGUCUUAUAUAUACACAAGAAUGAUAGCAAAACAUAAGCAAAAUGCGCAAUAUAUAUAUAUAUACAUAUAUAUACACACAGACGUACCUGGUUCUCGGAGAGUCCCAUUUGGAUUACGCCCCCAGGAUUAUGUCUCGGGUGGAAGGGAUCGUUCUCGUAGGCCUUCCAGCCGUCAAAGUAAGGCGAAUCCUCGCCGUGGCGGCCGUUGGUGGCGAUGCGCGAAAGAAGGCCAUCGUUGCGCCCCAUCAGCAAUCACCAAAAUAGUAGUCGAGGUCGAAUGAUCGCCAAAAGAGAGAAGGGAGGAGAGGGCGGGGGAUCGAUCGAGUGGGAUAAAUGGAGAUCGAGGGAUUUUGGCGUACUUAUAUAGUAGAGGCAAUAGUGGCUGAAAACCGAGUACGUGAGGUUCUUGUGGUCUGGACGUUGAAAUGCGUAUGAAUAUAUAUAUAUAUAUAUAUAUAGGAUUUAAUUAACAUAAAUAUUUGGUGCUAUUUAGAGGAGAAAUUCUGAGUCAGUUGGUGAGCUUCGGGGAAAGAAGAGUGGGGUGGGGGGGGGCUGCGUCGAAGUCGGAUUAGCUGCGGGGAUGUAGCGUCGGCGCUGACGCUUAGAUCGGAGACUACGCUGCAGCCUGCUAGCGCGCAACAUUGUCAUCGUGGUCCCCCAAUUAACUUGUCAUUCACUACUGUUUUCUUUUCUUUUUUUAAAAAAAUAUAUAAACUUUCAAGACUUUUGCUUAUAUAUUUUUUUUUACCACCAUUCAAAAAAUUUUAAAAUUUAUUAUUUUUUUUUCUUAAAGUACCCUUCUAAAUUCUAAAAUAUAUUAGUAAACUCUUAGGAUAGUGUUAGAUAUGUCUUGAAUUCUAAAAUUGCAAGGUGUUUUCUAAUUCUAUUUUAUUUUGAUUACUCAUUAAGUUAAUUUUAGAUUAUACCUAAUCUUAUUGAGAUAUUUCUAAUUUUAGUAGAUUUAUAUUUCUAACUAUAUUAGGAUUUAACCACUAUUAUAAAUAUACCUUUUAUUCUAUUAAUUUAGUGCGGCAAAUAAGAAAGAGUAUGAGUGUAUUUUUGAAAUUAGACUUUUCUAAGAGAAACAUAUUUUGUAUACCACUUUAAUUACAAUGAAAAUCUUUGCUUCGUUUUCGCCCGUGGACGUAGGCCGGUGGCCAAACCAUAUAAAUAUUGUGUAUUUUAUUUUUCUUCUCUCUUUCUCGUAUUUAUCUUGCUAUUUUUGAAUCCAAUGAACUAGAUCUUUUCGAUUUUUGUCAUAAUAGAUAGAAAUAUAUUUGAAAAAAAAAUUGUACCUAGAAAAAAUAUUUUUAUCGAUAAAAAAUAAAUUAAAUAGUUUUAAAGUUUUAAAAAGUAUAUUAAAUAUUAUUUAUAAAUAAUAUGUAAUUAAAUACACGAGUGGAUAAGUCUGCUUUUAUAUUGUUCCCCUUAUUAUGUUAGAUUGCAUUUAUUUUUCCUUUUAUUGCUCGAUUGUAUGGUUACAAUUUCUUCAAAAAUGCUGAAGCAGUAAAAAAAAAACCUUAAAUUAUUUUUAAAUUUCUACUGUUUGUUGUCAAACAAAAUAUAGCAUGCAAGGACCGCAAGCAAUCAACUACUACCCACUCCUAUAUUUCUUAUCAGGACUUGAUCUUCUGAAAGCAUACUACGUUCGACCACUUAAAUCGGACAGCACUUGGAAGGAUGGAGAGCUCUUUAGGAAUGCUUCUUCCCGAUCUAGACUUUCAAAAUGACCAAACUCUCUUAUAAAACAUUACUGAAUAACUACUACCAAAAACUAGCGAACUUUUGUUACCAAACUACUCUUAUUACAUAAUGCUACCUAGGCUAUUUCUACCAAAAACUACUUGUAUUGUUUCUUUAAGUUCUUCUGAAAAGUUGAAUUGUGUCAUGGAAAAAAAAAAUUCCUCCUCUCCUCAUAAGUAUUUGUAGUUGGUGGACAUACCAUGGCCUCCCCAAAGUUUACAUAUUUGCCAUAAAUUUAAUAUGUAUAAACUCUCGAAUUGUAUAAAUUUCUACCUUAAAAUCUUACUAAAAUUAUUUAUUCGCUUCUUUUAUAUGAAAUACUUCACACAACUUUUCUUAUUUUAAAUCUUAUAGUUAUCGAAUAUCUAUUCUCAUAUGGUUAAACUCUUCUAAUUUGCAAAGCUGAUUAUACAUGUACUACACCCUGCAAUGUUUAAUUUCUGGCUUUGCUCCUGUUUAUCGCUCCUUAUCUUCAAACCCCAGUCAAAUUCCGAAAUUAACAGAUGUGGUUGUUACCCGCCUUAUAUCGAAUGAAUAUAAACGGCUAAUAUAAUUUUUUCACUCGUUAAAUUUGAUGACCGAAAUGUCACGUCAACAAUAGCAAUAAUGACGGACAGGGCCUUAAUUUUAAUUACAGAUCACUUUAUUUCUAUUAUGAUUCAAAAUCCCACCCAUCAUUCACAUCCUAGCUAUUAAUUAUCUUUUUAUUCAAAAAAUGUACCAAUAAAUUUUAUUUUGUUAGUAUUCUGUUCUCCCGAGUCGGACUCGAGAAUGAUGAUACGAACAUGGAAAAAGAAAAAGAAAAAGAAAAAGAAAAAGAAAAAGUCGUCUCAUAAUCUUCCAGCUGGAUCAAAAGUUUUAUAAGAUCUGCCACGUAGAAACAACCAACGUAUAGGCAAAAAAUUAUGUUGUGCUACAAUCUUCCAGGUGGAACAAAUGACUAAUAAGACGUGUCACGUGUUAACUAGCUAGGGGGAUCUCCAGGUCACAGGCUUGGCAUUCAGUCUGAAAGAUUUUGAAUGGCACACGCCGUUAAAGGCACAAUAGACCUGGAAAUUCCAUACAUUCUAAGUCAAUCUCUAUAUAUAUAUAUAUAUAUAUAUUAGUAUAUAUAUAUAUAUAUAUAUAUAUACUAUAUAUAUUAUAUAUAGUUGAGCUAGAAUAUUGUAAAGUAUUAUAUGAAUGAUGCUUUUGAGUUUUUAACCAAUUGGACUGGAGAGAUGUGAGGUUGAGAUGAUGGUGGUACAUGUGAUAAUGAAUAGUGUUUGAUUCAAGAACUCUUAAUAAUCAAGGAGUAGAUCCAAUGGCUAAAAACCUAAUAGCAUUAUAGAGAUAAUACUGUAAAAACAUAUUCUAGCUCAAUAGCUCAAUUCUAUAUAUAUAUAUAUUAUAUAUAUAUAUAUAUAUAUAUAUGUUUAAAUAGCUUUCGAAGUAUACAUUGAUGUUCGUACAUCCAAAGCCUUUGACGUACCCUCCUUAUUUCCACGUUGGAUCGCACUAGGAAAUUAUUUCGAUCUGCUGGUCACGAGGGUCGGACAAAUGAAACGUAUAAAAUUAAUCUUAAGUAUUGUUUAUCUUAAUCAAAUUAUUUAAAAUUAAAAUUUUUAAUCUAGUCAUCUAAUCUUUUAAUAUUUUAUUUUUAGCCGUUAAUAAUUCUUUUAUUUCAAAUUUAUGUUCUCUAUAUAAUUUGUAUACUAUAAAUUUGUAGUAGGAGAGCCAUUAAAUAAUUUAUAUUAAAUGAAUUGAUAGAUUGAAAACUAAAUUUAAAAUUUUAAAGUAUUAAUGUCGAGUCAAAAUAAUAAAAAUUUUGAAUAAGUUAUAUAUAUUUUAAACUUACCAAAUCUAUAUAUGCAUGUGAUACUUAGUUAUUUAAAAUUUUGUACAAAAGUAUCUAAAAAGUGGUAUUCAGAACUUGCACAGUUGCACGAUAUGACCGAGUGUUUUUUUUUUUUUUUUUUUUUUUUUUUUUUGAGUCCAGUAGACCUAUUCAAACAAUCUUUCCAAAUAUAGAUAUUUUUUUAUUCAAAAAGCCGAAAACUCAAAACGCUUCACUAAUAACCGCACAUAUGAAUCUCGAAUCUCAGACUUAUUAGAUCAACUAUCAGAUACUGACUUUUUUUUUUUUUUUUGAGAGAUAGGUAACACACAAAUACACACAAAUGAAUGCUCGAAUCUCAGACUUAUUAGAUCAACUACCAGAUACCGACUUUUUUUCUAUUUUGAGAGAUAGGUAACACGCUAUCCGCUUCGUUUAUUUCAUUUAGAAAUAAACUUAGCUAGAAAUGUGAAUCAAUUAGGAUUCGAACUUAGGUCUCGGGUACCAACUAGCAAAUUCUUUGCCAUUUGCUCUAGGGACGGUCGGUAAUACCGACUUAUUAACUUUGCUACUUAAUGCUGGUACAUUAGUUAUUUCUUUCGUGAGUGUUCACAGUCUAGAUCCAAAUUGAAAACCAAGCAGAACCAAACCAAAUAAGCUAAUUUGGUUCGAUUAAAUUACUUUUCGAUUCAAUUCCUCUGGAAUGUUUGUGAAAUUUUAAUUUUCAAUUUCGAUUCGAUUUGGACAUAUGUACUAACUGAAUCGAAAUAGUGACUGAAUAGCUAUAUAUAAAUAUGUAUACAUAGAUUAAAUAAUAAUUUGACGCUAGUGUUGGUGCUUUCAUCUUUUAAUUUUUUUCGACUUUUUUAUUUCAUAAUCCCUGUACAUUAUUAAUCCACAUGUUAUCGAUAACUUAAUUACUUUUGUUGUUAAUCAGUGCCAAUUGAUCUAUUUGGUGUUGAAAAGUUGACAGACUUUUUUUUUUUUCCCUCAAACUGGACCAAACCCAAUAUUCGAUUCGGUUUAAAUUUAACAAACUAAAACAAUUCAAUUCGAUUCAAAAAAUAUAAGAUAAAUCGAGCCAAAUUCCAUUUACAAGAAAUAUUUUUGGCAUAUUAUAUGUUUGACUAAUGUCCCGUACGUAGACAAUUGAGGUUGUAGCUCCGUACACUCGUGAUGUUGGACUUAAUUACAGAGACAAAAAGUAAACAAAAUGGACUAAAUUAAUUAACAACGCGUUGAAUAGAAAGUAAUUUCUAUUUUCGUGCCGUUGACUGCUGUCCUAUAUUGACAAUUAAUUACAAUUAGUUAGGUUUGAUUUAUACGUAUAGAGAUUCACACAAAUUAAAGUGGCGUAUUUUUUUAGCUGUGAUUUCCAUAUAAUAUUAAUUUAGCCAAUGAUUUUUUUUAAUUUCACUAUAAUUCUUAAAAAAUAGCAUUUAUCAUAUGUGCAAGUAUUCUAGUAGUCCUUAUACUUAGUUUAGACUUAUAAUAUAAUAUAUAUUUUUAUAACCGACUCCUCACAAUAUGCGGAACGCAAUAUUACAUACGAAAACAAAUAAGAUAUUUUUUCAUCGUACUUUCUUACCACACGUAACGCAAUCUUUCCGCAAUUCUAAACGAAGCUUUAAUUUGUACUUACGCGCGGAAGUAACUAUGUUUGGACAUCCCAAUUAAUGUUGACAUUAGCUCAACGGAAAUAAAGGGGGCUUUUGUGUCUUAAGAAUGUUUUUAUCGAAAAAAAAAUAUUGAUCUACUUUGCGGACCGUUUGAUUGGAUAUAAGUAGAAUACAGUAUAAUUGAAGAUAUAUGCACUUAGAGAUUAUGUGGUUACAACUAUACAUAUUUCGUUUGGUUGGAUCCACUAGAACGCACUGCAAGUAUAAAUUAUUUAUUUCGUUGGAUAUAGUUAAGAAGUGCAUUUGAAAAAUAUUAUUAUUUUAUAUUUAUGGUGGUUAGAUUACUUCCAAAAUAGAAAAGAAAUAUAUUUUUCAUUUAAAAAAUAAUUAGGGAGAUGAGUUUUUUUUUAAAAAAAAGUUAAUCUCUCCGACCGUCACAGUUGGAAUUAUGACCAAUUUGAAUAUAAUUUCAAUUGCUAUUGUAUAACCUAAACACAUCAAACUAAAUAUCAUAUUUAAAAAUCUACGUAGUUUCAAUUACAAUAUAGUUACAAUUACAAAUAAUCAAACAGCCCUAAAACAAGUUUCAGUGGGAAAAAGGUUUGUACCUUUGACCAAGUUGCAUCAUGGGGUCUAAGUUGAAAAUUAAUUUGUUGAAUACCAUUACAAAGGAGUGGAUAUUGAUUGGCCAAAUUUCUUUAUCGAAAUUCCUACCACGAGGAGUAAUACCCAGCUCAAAUAUUGAGUUUAAAUACAUGAAAGCAUUACUACAGGCACGAAAUUAAUGCACCAGCGCGGUGGCUCAAUUACACAUUUUCCAAAUUUUAAUUUAUUUACUGUUCUAAUGUAAGCUGAAAAGUAAGCAUCUAAGACUGCGUUUGGUGCCGGAGAUAUUCCGGAACAACACGGGAUAUUCUCCAAGUUGUAACCAAACCGUUAGAAAAACAUGAGGAAACGGAUGUUUGGUGUCAAACGGAUUGUUUGAAAUUGUUCUGGAGUAACCUGCUUUAAACAAUUAUAUUCCUAGGAGAACUGAGAACAAUUUUGUUCUUCUCUUUAUUUUUAUUAGGUAAAUAGAUUGCGAAAAUAAAUAUAUAAUAUAAAUAUUAUUUUUUUGAUAAUAUAUUUAUAUUUAUAAUAUUAUUAUAUAGUAUAAAUUAUUAAUAUUGAAUAUCUAUUUAUUUUAUUAUUUAUUAUUAUAUAUUAUAUUUAAAAUAUUUUAUUAUAUUAAGUAUAUAUAUAUAUAAAAAUUAUUUUUUCAUGCACUAUAUAUUUUUUAAAUUUGUUUUGAAACUUAUUACUAUUAUUAAUUAAAUCCUAUAAUGGAUACUACAUAGUAUUAUGAAUAAAUUAUAUAAAAUAAAUAUUUAUAUUAUAUAUAGUAAAUAAAUAUACUAUUUUAAAUUAAAUUGUUACAUAAAUAUUACAAAUUACUAUAAGAAAUAUUUAUAAAUAAUUUUUAUAUUAAAUACACUAAUAUAAAUUAAUUAUUUUAUUUUUAAAAUAUAUUCAAAUAUUGUUCUACGCUUUUUAUUCAAACGUACUAAGCGAUAUCAUUUUAAGAAUAUCUCCGGAAUACAUCAACUAAUUUAUAAAUUGCUUCUAUCUUAUAUCAGAAAUUUUCGAAAGACAACAAAAAUUAUUCUCCAAAAUUGUUCUCUCCACUAACACUGCCUAAAAUCAAAGAACAUUCUAGCUAUAACCUGUUAAGUAGUUCUAUGUACAAAUUUGGACCAUGUAGAGUGUAGGAUUUCGAAUUGCUCACGCUUUUCGGCCCUAAAUACAAUGCAUUAAAGUUAAACUUAAUGGAACACAAAAAUAAUUUCCUACACACUUAUAACUUGCAAGUGCUUACCCGUAUCCCUGGUUAUAGUCUACUUUUUCUUCAAAACGGUUUAGUAAGUUUUAGUGUUACACCUAACAUGCGCAAAAGUGUAAUCCAUAUUUCACCACUAUAUAUAAAUAUAUUUUGUAUAAUAUAUAUAUAUUAUUGGCUGCUUUCACAUUUAUCAUAAGUUGAUAAAUCUUAGUUGGCCUCCUUUGUUCAUGGGGCUUGCUUCAACCUAGUAACGGAAGGUAGGGGAAGUUUGAUUUUACUUCCUUUUAGUUUUCUUGUAAAAUUGGUCCUCAGCUAAGCGGCUUUGAAAUUGUCUUCAAAGAGUUGACCUUCUUUAAUUCUAAAGUUUCUUUUACAGGAAUUAUUAUUUGAACUAACUGAUGAGAGGUGAAACUACUGUUUUUUUUGUUUUGUUUCGGUUUUUUUUUUUUUUUUUUUGUUCUUUUUUGGUAACAGUAUUGAUAGAGCAACCACUAGAAUGUUAAGUAGCCAACCCUAUCAGCUCCUCGUGUUCGGAUCGCUUAAUAACAAGACAAACCCGAGUGUCAUGCCUCACGAGCUGAAAGCAACAACAUUAAGUGAAAUGGAUUUAGAUUGGGAUAUAUAUAAAAAUAAAUUUAUUAAUAUUAACCUAUUAAACUUUGAUCUAAUGGUCGAAACUUUACAUAUAAAUGAGCUUGUUAUAAUUGAGCUCUACUUAUAUUAUAUAUAUAUUUUGCUAAAAUCAAAUAAUAAAAAAUAUAUAUAUAUAUAUAUAAUUAUUUAUUAUAUAUUAAUAUAAAUUAAAUAAAUUAUAUAAAUAUAAAAUAAUAUGUAUAUUUGAGCUGUUAUCGAGCGAAGCCGCCGAGCAAGCUGACUCCAGCUGUGUUCGGCUCGUUUACUAACGCGGCGAUUCGAUCCUCGAAUCAUUUCGAACAGAACACAAGCUGGCUGGAGCGACGGUGACUAGAUUGCAAACCUAAACCACCCUAACCCUACAUUCUCAUGAUUCCCAGAGCGUUGGAUUUUGCACUCAAACCCAAGGCGAUUAAAAUCUACCGGCCAUUGAAGCUAGUUGUGGUGUAGUCGAUCGUUGGUUGGUCGCCCCGCUACGUAAGUGGGUACUAGGUUUGCCACUGAUCCAAUCCGUUCUCUUCCAACACCCUAAACAAUUGUAGUAUGCGGGAAUCAAACACGAUGACAUGUCCUAAUGUCAUUUGAUAGGACGCCUAUUAUAAUUUCAACUCUCUAGUUAUCAUAAAAAAAAUUAAUUACACUAAAAUAUAUAGACACAAUAUCUACGGUAUUCGAUUGUGAUUUGACUUACUCUAGUCUCUGCCACUUGGCAUAGAUACUAGACUACGUGCCAACUAGUAAUCCUAGAAGAAAAUUUCUCAAAUUUUGUUGGCAUAUCCUGUCGUGACGCAAGCUUUUUAGAAACAGCAGUAUUAUGAUUCCUAUAUAUCUCGCCAAUUAUAGUAACUAUGAAUCUCGAUUGCGAUUAUACUCCUCCAACCUCCGCCACGCUAGAUAUAAUACCGCCUAUUGCCAACUGGUGAUCCAUAUCCUCUAAAUUUUGAUGGCAUAUCCUAGUCAUUUACGCCAGUUCUUUAGAAAUAGCGAGUUACUAUAAUUCUUCAAUAUAUCUCUCAAAAAGUUAUAUAUCUAUGAAUCUCAAUUGUGAUUUGAUCCAUUUCAGUCCUGUCGCAUUGGCAUAAUACUAGCCUACUUGUCACCGUGAUCCUCUAAAGAAAAAUUUCGACUUGGUAGAAAAAUUUAAACUUGAACCAAACUCAAAAUAAAAACUUUUGUACAUGAAACUUAAAAACCGAAUUCAGACUAUUAAUAGAACAACUAUUAAAAUGAAUCAUUAAUUAAAAUAAUUAAAAUUAUAUAUUUAAAAAUAUAUUUUUAUAUAGUAUGUUUUUAUAUGGCUUAGUUUGGAUUCAACUUUGAUCAAAUAAAGACACAAAAUCAAAACAGAACUGAGUCCAUCAGGUUCUCAUUUUUUUUUUUUUCACUCUAAUCAAAUCAUAUCCAUUAGCGUCGGUUAAACUAAUCCUUUCGAAUUCAUCUUCAGUAAAAUUUCGAACAUCGGUAUGCAUCGACUUUCUUAGUAAAGGACAAGUUGUCUGUUGAAUUUUACCCCACUUUAAAGGAUACUAGUGUAGAGACCGCGCGAUGAACGGGAAGUAAUAAUAGAAGCAAAUUUUUUAAAAUUUUAAUAAAAUUUAUAUUUACAGCUUAUAGAAAGUAUACAUGUUAAGCAAAUUCAAUUGUUAAAAAAUAAAUUAUAUAGCUAGAACAUAUGAAAUACAUAAUAAUAACUAAAGUAUCUAGUACUUAAGAAAAUUUUGGAUGGGUCUCAAGGCUCCAGUCUCCACAUCAUACUUUUUAAUCUAUGAAAGAAAUUUUGCCACAACGUGUCUACUCAAAAUAUGGUCAUAGAUGAAAAUAAACAAAAAAAUUAAUCUUAAAAAAACUAAUAGUUUUUGGGCACUUUUUUUACUCAUCCCAAACCUCAUAAAUCUUCUUAAUUUCAACUGUAGUUGCUCCCACGCCGAGUCCACUUCUGUGAUUUUUUUGUAACUUAUGAACAAACACCUCAUUGCAUCACAAACUACGAUAUCUAAACCCGACACAAGCUCUGCCUUACAUCAACCACUAAAAAGUCCUACUUCUAACAAUUUGAAUUUAUCAAGAAUUCCAGCGAUUCUUUGAGAGGAGCUCCCGCGCACGUCCCGCGUAAAGGAGGCUAGGAUCGAACGUCCAAGAGUCUCGCCGUCGGCCCAGAUUGUGGGCGCGUGCGACCGCCGAGAGUAGCCGAGGCGGGGUGUGUCGCACAGCGAGUGAGGCUCCGGCGCAGACUCGCCCAGCGAGUACUUUUAUGGCACGCAACUUGACUUUUACAGGACGCCCCCCCCGGAUACUUCUGAGGAAGACAACGUUUUCUCGCUCCUUCUUACUUCAUUAUUCUCUCAUAAUCUCUGUUAACAACAAUGAGAAUAGAGAAGGGGAUAAGUGUGAGCGUGAGAGAUUAGAUGAUUAAUGUUCUUUUUUGUAUGAGAAAAUAAAUGCCAUGCAAAAAAUGGGUAAGGGGGUUAUAUGGUGGAGGGGAGGGAUUGGAGUUACAAAGCUAUUAAUGUGGAAUAUAGGCAUUAAUUAAAUGUGGAGAGGUGAAGGGUGCAGCAUGUUAGAAUGAGAAAACGUAAAUUAAAAAAAAAUGAGACUUUGCCAUCGUCCAUCAUUUUACAUUUUGGGAUUCAUAUAUGGACUGCGACUCAACUUAUCAGACGACUACUCUGAGGAGCAACGUCUUCGCAUACUCUUCUUCUUCAAUCUCCUCAUAAUCUUGUAAACAAUGAGGAUAGAGAGAAGGAGAUGAGUGUGGGGUUGUGAGGGAUUAGUGAUUAUGUUCUUUUUGUAUGGAAAAUAAUCUGUCAUGCAAAAAAAAAAGGGUGGGGGGAUAAUGGUGGAUGGAGGAUUGAGUUACAAAGCCACUAAUGUGUGAUAUGAAUGCAUUUAAUUAUAUGGAGAGGUGAAAAGUUGAGCAUUUACGAAUGAUAGAAAAAACCGUAAAUGUUAAAAAAAAAAAACAUUUUGCCAUAUCAUCAUUCUAUAUUAGGAUUUCAACAUAAGAGUAUAGAAUGUCGCCAUUUCUAUUAGAUCAAGUAGGUCAGCACUCACAAUCCGAGUAGAAAAGGAAAAAAAAAAACAUAUAGAAUGUCAACAAGCAUUAAUUUCUUCUUCUAUGUCACCAGGGGGAAAAAAAACAACACAGUGUUUGAAAGCUUCAAACGAAGGCAGGACUAAGUUUGAAAAACUCAUAGUUAAAGAGCAUGGAUAAACAUUCUGAGUCGCACUGUCGAGAGAUCUUGUGUACGAACUGGCCAACUGUUUAUUAAGUGUCUGCUUUUCGGAAGCAUGUUUUUGGAUUUUGGUUUUUGAAUAGCUAGCAAAUGUCAAAGGGAGCUAUCCGAACAUUCUCAGCUUCUCCUUAAUCAAUCACUGUAGGCAGGCUCAGGAGUAGGACGAGGCUCAUUAUGUUUUAUUAAGCUCUUAAGAAGUCAAAUUCCUGCCGUCCAAACGGUCGAAUAUUGCAGAGACAUGCCGACAUCAAGUUGUUCUUUGUCAAAUAAAUUUGCGUUCUAAUCUUCUUACUUCUUGGGUUUUCUACGCGUCACCAAUCUACAGCGACGUGCAGAGGUCCUGUUUCUUUGCCCUCUUUUCAAAUUGAAUAGUGAUUUUUAAUUAGAGCCAUUGGUUGUUCAUAUAGUUUAUAAUUGUAAAUCCGUAAUUGUAAUUGCAUAUAAAUAUAAAUUCGUGUUUGAAAUACACUACUGCAAGUAUGACUUCGUAUCCUCCCGUCUACCGUGACCCCGAUGUUACGCCUACAGUUAGUCGUUUUCACACUAGUAUAACUGUUGAGAAAGAGGUUCAACUGCUGUAGUUGGAAAUAGCCCAAUAUUGGCCGCAGUUCCAGAUGCAGCAAUUAAAGAGAGUAAUUUUUAAAUAAAGACAUGUUUUAACUCCUUAAUUUUUUUAAUUAUAUAUAUAAUAUAUAGAGAGUAGACCGCCUUAUAACUAGCGGGUAGGCAGGCAGGCCUGCUGUGGUUUAUCAGUUGUUUUAAAUGAGUGCCGCUUCCAAAUCGACAAAUCGGUUCCAUUAGACUUCAUCUAGUACUAUAUGAAAGUAUUUGGAAACUAAAUUUAUAAUUUUUUGGUUACAUUUACCUAUCAAGAAGUAGUCUAAAAUGGAACGGCCUGAAAAAAAAAUCUCAUAAAAAAGAUUGAUAGAAGACCUUGAAUUUAAGAAUCAGGUACUAAUCGAUCUUUACUCUCAAUUAGUAAAAAGAAUUUCUAUAAAAUUUUAUUCUGCUUGGCAUUAUUUUACAACCGUUAAAUUACAAAUGCAUCACAUCUACCAUUCAAAAUUGUCAAUUUGAGACCUUUUAAUCACUAACCAAUAUGAUGUCGAAAAAUUCUAAAAUUUUUCGGUUUCUAAAUAUUUUAAUAGUGUAAAUCAAGUCUGAACUGAGCCGAUUGUGAAUUUGCGAAAGUGAUCAUUGAAAACAACUUGAUAGCACAGAAGCCUCGAGGCUACCGAUAGUAUACCCAGACUAACUCUAUAUAUAUUACAUUUACAGAUAAUUCACCAUCUAUAUAUAAAUGAUCAAAUUUAAAAUUAUUUCUCAAAUAUAUAAACAAACAAUUAUUUAUAGUUCAUGACGUUUCUACUACAUCCAACCAAAACAGAAUGCUGUGUUAAAUUGUUGCAUUUCCAAACCUAUAUGAACAUUCGUUAUCCUCCAACUACACUGCAUUUAUAAUUACAUCUAGUCAAAUUAGUCCCUUAGUGGGAAGUAGUUCACAUAAAAGAGUUUUUCACCAAUUAUUGUUUGAGAGAAAGUUAAAUAUUUGUAAUUAUAUAUUAUUUCUAUAUUUUAUUAAUCCUCAUUGAAAAUUUAUUGAUUAGAUGAAAGACUGAAAAAAAAUAUAGCAGUUAAUUUUUACCGUUCUUUCUAAUAUUUCUCUCUUUCUCUCUCUCACAUAUUGAUCUUGGAUGCUAUCAAGGGAGGCCAAUUACAACGUUUUUGAAAAUAUAGAGUACAAAAGAAUUAUAUUACGACAAGCCAAAUAACGAAAAGUGUCUAACGGUUUUAAGAACCUAGUUAUUAUAUUAAAUAAUGCAUGUAUUUUGUAGUAAUUGUUUUAGUUGAGUUUUGACUAAUAAGUUAUGAUCUUUGAAGAGCCUGAAUAGAGGUGAGCCAAUGGUGAAGAUGGAAAAAAUUCAAGACUAGCCACAUGUUGCAGAAAGCCUAUUCUGUUCAUUGGUUAAUAUUGACAAGUUAAUUCUUAUUUGGCAGCUAUUGUUGUGAAAAUUGUAUAUCUUAAAAUUGGACGUUGAGAUUGAAGGACUUAAAAGGCAACUAUCGUGUUCCGUCCAUAUGUCACACCAUGAAUCAAAGAGUUACAGUAUAAGUGAUGUGUUCUUAAAUCCCGUACAAAAACUUAUUUACGCACUAUCUAGAAACAAUUCAAAUAAAGUUGGAGCUGAUUGACAAAUAGAAUAUGCAUCAAAUUAAUGUGAAACAUUUCUAUUUGAUGUUUUUUUGUUGAGUUAGCUUCCACACCUUUAAAUCACGUGAAAUCUCUUAAAAAAUAAUGUCCUUUUCAAUUAUUAUACAUCGGUUCUAUACCUAUAAUAGAUAGAUAUAUAAAGUUGAUUUUAUGGGAGUUUAUUGGACUCGGCCUCGAUCUUUCCGUACUCUAAUUGGUCACCUUUGAAUUAGAGAGCUCCAUCUUAUAAAAUAGCAUGUGCGGGUUAAGUGAUAGUUGCGUGGGCGCGUCAGAGCCAAAUUACAUUCGACCCAAUAUACACACCGCGAGUCGUGUGUUCAGCAGAGCGACCAAGUGAGCUGACACUCGGCUCGUGAAUACACUGACUCGUUAUGGAUUGAAGUCGAAAAAUUUGAGUUAUCGUCCCGAUUUCAAUUUAUUAACGAAUCAAUACGAGCCGAAUAUGAAAUUAAAAGGAUUAAAAAAUAUAUAAAAAAAUAAAUAAAUUUUGUGAGAUUGUAUCUAUGCAAUUUGAUCUAAGAUUAGAAAUCUUAUAUAUACAUGAAUUUUUUUUAAUUGAGUUGGACUUUUAUAUUUAGACUGCACAUUAAAAAUAAAUUAAUAAAAAUUUAUAUUAUAUAUAUAAUAUUUUUUAUUUAUAUAGAAUUAUAAUUAUAUGAAUAAAAUAAUGAAUUCACACUGUUAUCGAACGUAAUACAAAACGAGUUGACCCAGCUCCGUGUUCGGCUCGUUUAUUAAACAACGUUGUUCAGCUUGUUUACUAACACGACGCGACUCGAUUUUCGAAGAUUUCGAGCGACAUGAGCGGCUCGUAAACAGCGAGCUGGAUUGCCAUCCUAAUCACACAGUACCGUAGCGACAAAAAAAGAGGCAGCAUGCAUGCGCAGAUCAAAGUCGACAGCAGAGCGGCCAGUUCUCAACUAAGGCUGUCUGUAGUGGUUUUGAAUUCUUCGAAACGAACUGUAUAAAAGGGUGGUCAGAGAUUUUAGAGUACUUUUUAAUUUAGUCAUUUCGAUUAACAACUUUACGAAAAGCUUUUAUUGAUUAUUUUUAGCUACACGUUUGUGUUCGGGGUUAAGGAAAAAUUUAGAUUUAUUCUAGGGAUAUGGUUUAAGUUCAGGUUAAGAUGGGGUUGGAAGGAUUUUUAUGUUUGGUUGGAGGUUGGAAUGUCCAGGAUAGUGAAAAAUAGCUGUUUUGGUUGAGUUAGGUGGGAUAAGAACGAUAUGAGUUAUUUGACUAGAAAUAGUGAUUUUGGUUGGCAGUGUGGUGGGGGUUAGUAAUGCGGAAUUGCCCAUUUGAGGUGGGGUUAGCCUAACCUGGUACCAUUUUUGGUGAGUGUUUGAGAAAUUAAUAUGGGAGUUAAGGGUUAAGGGGUGUUUAGAGUUUUAGUGGAAUAAGAAAAAGAUGGUAUUUACUAAACACUCUUAGUUUUUUUGAUCUGUAAGAAGACAUAAUGUAUAAGUUCUGAUCUUUAUUUCUUCAUAUAGGGAAUAACAUUAUAUUUUCACUCUCCCAAUGAAAUAGUAAUUGUCGAAUUACCGUAAAUUUUGGUUUUUUUUCUCUACUGUUUUUAUUUUUUAUACUGUUUUCGGUCUAUUAUUUUCAUGAUUUAUAUUGAUACACGCAUGACGGACGAUCCCAUUCCACGUUCCAACGAAUCAAAUAUUUAGAUGAUAAGAAUAUAUUACUUUUAUAAAAAAAAGGCUUAAUUAUACAGAUGCGCCUCAAACAUAUUUAAUAGCAGAUAUAUCCCUGCCCAAAGUUAACUCUCAUAAGUUCCCUACACGAAAGCUCUCUCCCUAAUGUUUUAUUAAGAUAUGUCCCCUACGCAGUUAAUACCUUGUUAAAACUCUUAAGUUACAACACAGUUAAGUUCUUAACGCAUGGAUUAGUUAAAAGGUAAAAUAGUAGUUUUCUACCCUUCUUCCUUGCCCUUCUCUUUUUUUCCCUCUGCUUCUUCCUCUCUUUCUCUCCUACUUUUUUCUUCUCUCCUUCUGUUCGUAUCCUCAUUUUCCUCCUUCUUCUUCUUCGUCGUCGUCAUUGAUGAUCCGAUUGUCGUCGCUGUCGUGGUGCCCCCGUGGGCCGUCAUCACGGGCGCCACCGACGGCAUCGACCACGCCUUCACCUUCCGCCUCUUCCUUGUCCUCGUUGGCCGCAACCCCGACAAGCUCCGCAAGGUCACCGUCGCCGCCGUCCGCUUCCACGGCAUGAAGAGGAAAAGGAAGAUGAAGAGGGUGAGGGCAAAAUAGUCAUUUCGCAACUUUAUUGUUAAAAAAUUAACAGUUUUUUAACAUAUUCAAAUCAGAGGAACAUAUUUAAAUACAUUAGGGUUUUUAUAAGGAUAACUUAUGAUAGUUAAAUUUUGCAGGAAUAUGUCUGCUAUUCAACAUGUUUGCAGGAAUCUGUAUGAAACUAACCCAAAAAAAAAAUGUCAAUGUAAACGUAAGCUGUUUCUUAGACUGAUAGAAAAAACCGGGAGCCCGAAAAGAUCGAAUCCAGGCGCCGGAAUUUUCGCACCCGAUUUUCAAUGAGUGUGCGCUCGAUUUCUGAGUGUGCUCCCGAUUCUGAGGAGCAAGUUUCUAUCAGAGAAGGUGCGGGUGCCUAAAUUUUGAAGCUUGGAAGUAGUCCUGUGGUAUAUUUUUAAUUUGAAGUUUCCUAUUCUCUCUCCAAACUUAAGUGAGUUAUUUUGAUAGCGAUUUUCUAUUCCCUUGCGUAGAAAUUAAGAGUUGGGUUUUUGUAGCGGAAAGAUUUAUCUUUUGAGAAGAAGAAGAAGAGAAGUGGUUGUAAAGACUCGGUAUUUGCACUAAAAAUAUCGGAAGUGUCGUUCCCACCACAUGCACAUGCAAGAAGAAGGCCUCUUAUAUAUGCACGUCAUUAGAUGCCGAGCAAAGCCCUGCAUGAUUUUAAAUCAGUUAUAACAUGUUGGUGGGCAAAGCUACCCUGUAAUAAUCAGAAUUAGCUACAACACCCAAAUAACUUCAUGAUAGUUUAUAGUUAGUCACACUUGUAAUUAAACAGUUGCAAACUUUUUCUAAGCACUAUCUAACUCGUUCGUACACCCGAACAAUGGUUCUGAAAAAUAGUGCAGCAACAGGUAUAAGUUAAUCACGUGGAUAAUCCAAUAGGUAUGUAUACUAGACUGAAAGUAAGUUAUAGAGAUCGAAUUAGACAAUUCGUAUAUCAAUUGCGGAAACAAAAUAAGGAUGCAUACAAUGAUGCAUGUAGUCAUAUAGAACAACAAGUGAACUUCAAACAGAGCAAGUAUAGAAAAAUACUGCAAGAAGUUGUAAACAAUAUUGGUGUUAUUAUAUGAGAAGGCAUAUGCUAUUUAUUAAUUUCAAAUUUGUUGUUAUUCUUUUAAUCUUAUUAGGCCCAACAAGCUGAUUUCCCGCUUUCAAUCCAAAUCUAACAAUAUUUGAAUUGUCCAAAUCGAAAUUGAAAUGAAAAAGUAUGCCCAAUUUACAAUUUAGUGCCUAUUAAUUCGUGCAAAUCAGUCGAAAUUUAGAAUUUAUGCAUAUCAAAUGAAUGCCAUGGUGGCAAAAAGAAUUUCAUAAUGAAUCCAAUGAUAAUAAAAUCAUGUAAAAUGGAGACUGUCAAAACGAAAACACUAAAAACUCACUGACCGAAACCGGACAAUGGGAAAAUUCGGGCCCAAACUAGAACCAGGCAUGGGCCAAAUGUGUCUCUCUCACGGAUUCAAAUCAUAUGCGAACUUGAUUCUAAACUUAAACUUUUAUCAAAUAUAGGCUAAGCCAAUUUAAUAUAGUCCAUUUCCUUAAGGUGAAAUAAAUAUGCUCUAAAAGCCUAAGUUUUUACUGUGGCACCGUUCGACGACCGACCGUGGGAAUUAGAGUUGCUACUCGGACUAGAUCAUCCAAUUCAACCCGAAUCUGACCCCCAGACUCGAAGUAUUUUUGUGAGGUGUAUAGGUUAAAAUUAGGGGAAAAUCCUAAUUAAUAUUCAGUUCCGAGUAUAAACACGUUGAUCCAGUCCUUAUUUUUUGUGUACUAUAUUACAUGCUUUUGUGUACUUUUACCGUGGGUGAUAAUAUUGUUAACAGAGCUAUAUUUUAUACGCAUAGACAAUAGUAAUAUAAACUUAAUAUAGUGUUAUCACACCCCUUUUGAAAACAGCAAUCAUUUGUAUAUUGUUUUUAAUUUGAAUUUUUUUUCAGUUAACAUGAACAAUGAGUAAGAUUACCGUUACGUUCAGAAUUUGCUGUAUUUUCAAAGCACAUAGAUUACUUAAUAAAUUUACUCUUAUAGAGUGGACAUGGGACCCCUUUGGAUUGAUCUUAUGCUAAGGAAUGAAUGAUGGUCCAAAACCAUAAAAUAAGCAAAGGCCUGAUUCAAUUUUCAGGAUUAGUGAAUUACGGAUCAAUUUUCAGUUUCGAGCCAUUAAUCGGAUACAUGACAUUAUCUACAGCCAUAUUUGGAUUAAUAACAUUAUCUACAAUCAAAGAAACUAAGGAUAAUCGAUCGAAUAACUGCGUUACGUCGCGGCCCAAAUGUUUAAUACCACACAAAGAAGGUCCCUAAAAAGGCCCAUUAGAUAUCAACCACCACGCAGUUAGUAAUAAGAUGUUAAAGAACAUCUUCUGCAAUCAAAACUGCAUCCAGGAUUACUGUUGUUCAUCUGCCACUUUGUAAAAUUGCUCGCUUCGACUUUCCUCGACGGUACUCCAAUAACGCCGACCAACAUCCCGGUGUCGCAGCUGGUUCCCUGUCCCUGUAAAUUAAACAAACUUGACUUAAAGCCAUUUGCAUAUCAGGAGCUCGAGCGCGAAACGAUUAAUUGAUGUAUGUAACAAUCAGUCGAAUGAAAAGAUUAUCCUUGGUUUGAAUUUCCUGUAAAAUCGGUGUUCGACUUAAUGACAAAAUUGAUUGGAAAGGAUGAAUUUCAUAGAAUUUCUUCUUUUUUUUUUUUUAAAAAAAAAAGAGAAUUAUGUAGGAUCAGGAUUGGUGAUUUGCUCAUCUAGCACAUUCACAACGUCAAAUCGGAGAAUAGGCUGAUUAGCUUAAAUUUGUGUUGAAAUACGUAUCCCUACGUAGUACUUUUAAAAUCACCAAACAAAUAUUAAGGUCACAUCAUAACCGAUCAACAAAUAAUGAUCGUCAACACCUAAUUGUCAGUGUCCAAAAAAACCGAUUGAUAGAAAUAAUUUAAAAAUAGCCUUAAACAAUAAACUGAAGAGAUAUAUAAUCAUCUUUGCUAGUACGUGACUUAAAAAAAUCAAUCUGAUAGAAAAUAACACAGUAUAAUCUUAACACUAGUUAUAUACCUUUUGUUAUACUCGGUGUUAGCUCGCUGAUCCACCCCCCCACGGCUCGUCCGUGCGGCAGUGAGGCUCCGUGUCAACGACGUUGGCACGUAGAAAUUUAGGAGCACUCCUUCGCUACUACCACCGCAACUACUCCUGCGAUCUCUCCUCUUCCUCUCAUUCAUUUUAGGCCUCUUCUCCUUCGUUUCGUCGUCAUGUAUUAUUUUUUUUUUCGUUACCGCUCCCGUCUCCGACGUUAAUCCUUCUUUCUCGACUAAGUCGGUGAGGGAGAGCUCGUAAUCGGACUCCGGAACGUCGUUUAGUAGCCUCAGAAGCUCUUCGCGGCUUUUGGCGAUCUCCGAAGCCCUCACUGAUAGAGAAGCCGAGGAAAUGCCUUCCAUUUUGCUCUCAAGAAGCCAAAGACUCCUCCCAGAGAGUGCAAUUGUGAUGAUUUCGAGGGAAAAUAAAAAAAAAAAACAAACAAGAUAGGAAAAUAUAAUAGUGAGAGAUUGCUAUAUGUAGCGAAGAGGCCUUUGUUGUGAAUGGUCCAUUUGGUGGAAACAAAUUGAUGGCGUACGCACAAAACGGGCUUAAGAAAUUGACUAAGUUGUGAAUGGGACCUGAUCUAGAAUAACUCUUUUGAAAGUUUCAAUAUUUAUGUAUAUUGGUGGGGCCUCGAUGGUUCGCUAAGGCUAUUACACUAUCAUCAUCACUGUGAUGAACUAAUAAUAUACUAUUAGGAAUAUGAUUAACUAUUAUAAAAGCAUGUGUUUAUAGAAAGAACACAUUCAUUGCAUUUAAAAGCUCAACCACAUUAUUCAUGGAUUUCGAUCUGACUCAAUUCACAUGGAUAUUAAAUUUUUAUUGUUAACCUCUUUUCGUUGGGUAUACUAUGGAUCACAGCUCUACGCAAUUUAUUAGGAUAAUUUAUUUCAAAUUAUUAGUUUUCUAAAUUUAUUACCACAGAAUAGAAAGUUGAAUCUAUUUUAGCUAAUAAUAAAUAACUAACAUUAUAUAUGGAUUAUGGAUUGCGUCUCUGAAUAACAAAUUUUUGUAACGUUUGGAACUACAUAGGAAUCUAUUAAUAAUUUUCAUGUUAUGCGUAUUAGUAUAACAAAAAAUUAUAAAAAACGCGCUCUAAAUCAUUCACAACGUGUGCGUGAUAUCAUGUAUCUAAAAAUAAAAAUAUUGAACAGUUUGGGUUGUUGAUGCGAUCAGUACGUUGAUGUUGACUCGAUCGUUCGUCUGGUUGCUUUUGUAACUUGUGUUCAACUCAAUUUAGUGUAGGUUGUUUACCAAUUAUUUUUGUUCGAAGAAGCCUAGAACUUCACGAAGAUUAAUUGCUUUAGUGAGUUGGAUUUGAUUGAACACUUAUUUGUAAUCUUGUGUUAAAAAACCAUUGGUCUCCAAUGAUUCACUACUUUUUUACACUAUGAUUGUAGUUUUAAUUGUGCUGUUACGCACCAUCCCUCAAAAUAUGCAAACAAGAAAGGAAAAACCCACCGACCGUUCCUAGAGCAAGCGACAAAAGGCUUGGUGGUUGGUAUCCGAGACCCAAAUUCAAAUUUUAGUUAAUUCAUAUUUCUAGCUAAGUUUAUUUCUAAAUGAAAUAAACGAAGCGAAUAGUGAAAAAAAAAAAAAAGAAAAACCCUAAACAAAACUGAAUACUAUUUCAUUGCACAUUACUUUUUCUUUGUUCUUGUGGGAUGAACUACGUUAGUGCUUUUCCUCCAAUAAAGUUACGGAUCUAACUCUAUUAAGGUUCUAACACCUAUAUCACCAGCAAAAAUAAGAUAUAAAAUAUCCUUGCAUACUUUAAUUCAAACUCCUUUUGAUCCAGUAAUGUCAAAUAGCUUUUAAUAACAAACGAAUCCUUAAAUCUGUUUUUAAAAAAAUGGCAUGAGCAUCAAUUUGGAACCAAAACUCACUAUUUUAUUCUUAAAAUUCUCACGAGUAACACAAAAAAAAAAAAAGUAAAAAAGGAGAAUUUUGUAGAGCCCACUCAAGCCUAAUUUCCGGGAUUACGUUGUUUCCCAACUUACCCACCCAUAGAUUAAAGUUUUGUCCUCUGCAUCUAAGGACAGUUUGUUUUGAUUAGGUGUAAUUAUAAAUAUAGUGUAGUUGAAAAUAUAUAUAGUUAAAAAUAUAGUAAUUGUAACUAUAUGCAUCCCAUUUGAUUGGAUGCAGUGAAAAGCGCUGUGACUAUUAAUAGUUUGUUUGAUUGCAUAUAGUUGAGAAAUAAUUUUUAAAAGUUUAUUAUUUUAUAUAUAUUAUGGUGAGAUUAUCUCAAAUAUAAAUAUAUAUAUGUUUUAUUUAAAAAAUAAUUAAAGAGGUAAAUAUACUUUUUGUUUAAAAUUACUCUCUCUAACUGCUGCAGUUCGAACUGCGAUCAAUUUAGGCGUAGUUUUCACUACUACAGUUGAGCUUCCUCUUAUAUAAUUCCUACUGCAACAGAUGGAGCUAAAUGCAACAAACCAAAUGCAAGCAUUUGUAUUUACAUACAGUUAUAAUUAUAGUACAGUUAUAACUACGUACAACCAAACAGCCGCUGAUAUGCCGAAAUUUGUUUUUUGGUGACAGGGCUACGACGGCAUCUUUAUUAAGUUUGCUAAUAAAAAUUUAAAAUAAAUCAAUAAAAAGAAAAAUUAUCAAAAGUAUUUUUUAAAAAUAAAAUUUCUCACUUUUGUCGUUUAGUCUUUUGACUGGAGAAAGAAACGGAAGUUGCCGGCGGGCUCCACGCCGGCGAGCGAAGCGCAUGAUCAAACCGUACAUCUAGUGGGGCCCUCAUAGGUUGGGAGUGCUUCUACGGCCUAGAUGCGUAGUAGUAUGUAGGGGUGGUGGUCAAGCGACGCACCCGAUGAACACUUUGCAAGACAAGUAAUCGGAACUCAAGUACGAGCCUCCAAAACUUUGAGAUUAGCACAAACUAAAUAGAGGUUAAGAAAGUACGAAAUUUACUUAACUAUAAAUUAUUUACAUUUGACUAUCAACUUUUUUAAUUUUAAUUUAACUAUCUAAUAUUUCCUAAUUUGUUUGAUUUAAAUUAGUUGACAAUACUUUGACUUCAAAAUUCGAAUACGAUUUUAUUAUGUUUUAUAGGUUUAGUUAGUAUACUUAAUGUUAUUAUCACAACUAUAAAUUUAUUAAAGUAAUCAAUCUAAUUUUUGAAGUCAAAAUAUUGUUGACUGAUUCAAAUCGGAUGAAUUACAGGUUGGAUAAUAAAAUUAAAAUUUUGAAAAGUUGGACAAUCAAAUCCAAAUAAUUCCUAGUUCGGAUAAGUUUCAUACAUUUUCACAUAAAUAAAAGAGUUUUCAUUUUCAACAGCAAUAAUUUAUUAGUAGAUACUUAUGCCUCAUUGGGCAUUAUUAUUUUUUUUUACACUAAUUAUAUACAAUUUGAAAUAUUGUCUAAAAAUUUAACUUCUUGUUGCCGCCGUGAUUGGUUAGCAUGUAAUACACUUGGCCAAGUAAUACUGACAACUUUAAAUAAAUUUCAAAAGAAAAAAAGCUUUAUUUUAAAAAUUUUAUGUUUUGUUACCAAAUAAACAGCACGAAAGAAAAAGUUGUUAGUAAUGUACUACUACUACCCACUACUAUACCGUUUUUAUGUUAAAAAAUCUAUUUAAAUAGAUAAAACACGAUGCCAAAUGAAGCCUUAAUUGCUUUGGUUUUGCUCUCUUUUUAUUUCUAUUCGUACCUGCAAUUAACUACCCCAGAGCAUUUGGCAAAUACCAAGAAAUAGAGUCUUUGCUGCAGCGCAAAAUUUAAGUCCCAAAAGAAGUGGCCUGGUUUUAGAAUUUAUGAUUUUGCAGAGAAGUUUGAGAAAUUUCAAUAUGGAACCUCUCCGUACAAUACCACUGGAAUAUAAACUACAACCUACAAAAUCGCAUCUGAUCGGUAUUCUAAAAAAUAACGAUCAAGAGCAGGUAAAAUAUUCUGAUGUGACCCAAUUUUUUAGUUCUCAAAUGCAGCUAGAGAUUCUUUUUUGUCUUUGUUGAAGUUGGAUUUCACUUUGGAUUUGCUCUAAUAGAGACUAAAAAUAAUUUUUUAUAGGGGCGUUUUCUCACCAUUUCUGCUGAAACGGGCAAAAAAAAGGAAGAAAAAAACAAUUCUCUCAUGAAGACGAUGGAUCAUAUUUUUAUUACACCUAUACAUGGGAUGUAUAAAUCGCGUUGCUCUUUUACAAAGAAAAAUACUACGGGUACACCCUUCCGGGAGGUGUACAUUUUCCAUCUUUAAUCCAUAAAUUCAAACCACCCCUUUGGAGUUUAAAGAAAAAUUUUUUUAAAAAAAAAACAUGAUAAGAUAAGUGAUUUAUUCUGAUCUACAAAAAAUUUAUGAGUAUUAAGUUUUACGAUGUAUGCGUCGCAUUACUCUUCUACAAAACAACAAUACAUUUUUGACAAAAGCAGAUGCUUUCAUUCAUGCAUUAUGUUAGGAAAACAUAUAAUCUAUCCUCAAUGUUUCCACAUAAUACCAAAAAUUUGUCAUGAAUAAAGGCGAAUCAAAAAUAUCUGCUUGUUAAAAACCAUAAGAAAGCAUAUUGGUGUUUGAGCUUAUAUGUCUAUAUACAAAAGCAAUCAAUGGAUAGAUGACAUUAUAAAUAUGGAUCAAACUCUUAAAGAGUCAGAUUAAAAGACCUGUUGAUCCAAGAAACACAAUCGUGGGAUGCUCCAAGUAUGUCUUAUAAUUUAUGUCUUAUAAUUUACUGUCCUAUUAACUUAAUUAACAAAACAGUGAGAAGUAACACAUAAUUAAACUUUGAUGAGGUUAGGUAGAAGAGUAACCUUAUCAGCCGCGAUAAGCGAUCAAACAUUGCUCUCACCAUUCUUCUGAAGUUUCUCAUAUAGUUUUCUCGAAACCUGCAAAGUCGAAGUAAGAUAGGACACACAAAAACCGAGCUUGCGUAUAUAGGAAACAAAAGCUAACUGUCAGGAGAGGAUAGUAGUGAUUUGAAGGUUCUCCAUCCUAAUUUUGCUAAUCAAGUCUGAUAAAAUAGUCUGUCGGAAUAGGACAGGUAGUUUCUCUUGAUAAACCUGUUAAAGAGUCAAAAUUUUCUAUCGGCAUCCCAACAAAACAAAUGGGUGACUAUUUUUUUACCACCGUUUCUCGUAAACCUGUUAAAGAAUCAAAAUUUUCUAUUGGCUUCCCAACAAAACAUAUGGAUGACUGUUUUUUUACCACUGUUGCAGACUCUGUCAUUUUAGGGGUCAGAAGGUGAUAAAAAUCUCUCGCUUUAGUUUACUAACGAACUACAACAAUUCCAAGGGUUUUAUAUAGUAGAAAUGGUAAAAGCUUUCUCCACCCAAUAGCAUAUACUAUGAUAUUCUAUUAAGUUGUAUGGCCUACAAUGAACAGGUCGUUAUACUAUUGGCAUUACCUUUAUUCAAUUAAUAGAUUCCUUAAAUUAUACCAGAUUUAUCAUAUAACAAUUUUUACCUUAAUUUUAGAAUCAGAAUUGUCUAAGAAUAAUACAGUAUUUAACUCACUCGAUGUGAAGUUGGAGAACUAGAGCCAAUAACAAUAUGAUUAGUUGGUGAACUCGGAAAUGACUUUCCAGGAGAGCUUAAUAUGGUUGGUGUUGGGACAGGAGCUUGAGCAUAAGGCGAAACAGGAGAGCGUAAUAUAGAACUUUGAUGAUAAGGUGAAAGCGGAGAUUCCGUUGGAUUUCUUCGUGGGAACUGAGAAACAGAUGUGGGCUCUGGAGAUCUCGAUGAUGAUCUUUUCCUUGGAGGCUGCAUAUUUAUCUUAAUCCUGCAAAAGGAAUAUGCUAGUAAUCAUAACACACCAAUAAGAAAGCAGCAGAAUAAGGAAUUGGGCAAAAUGUAUGGAUUGUGCCUGCAACUUCUUCGCAACAUAUUUUUGCUCGAAUUCUUUAGUUCCCGAACUUUUUCAUACAUCCAAUAUCAUCCCUAUAAAGUGACCAUUACACUUCUAACCUUUCUGUUUCAGUAUAGUUAAAUCAGUUGAAAAGGCCAUUUUACAGGACAAGGUCGCACAUUGUCAGACGUUGUUGGCGACUACGGAUAGGAUUGCAAUAAAUGAGAAAAUUCAGGGGCUAAAGUGUUUGAAUGAUAUGUCAGAGAAACAAAUUGGGAUAGAACAGAGACAAAUCCAUAUAUUUUAGUGUAAGUAAUUUAGAUGGUAGCUACUUACUUGUUGUGUACAUCUACAUACUCAUCAGUCUCAUCCAAUAUGUCUUCCUUCAUAAAGCAAUCAAGCAGAGUUGUUAGUUACUUAGCUUCUUGCAUGAACGAAUGUAAGAUAGCAAGGACUACUUAACAAUAAUCAUGAAAAAAAAAAAUUUAAUAAUUAAAAGUGCAGAAUCAGAUAAGCAGUGGGAAUGCAAUUAUGAGGAAAAUAUUAACAGACUAGGUGUCAUCAAUUGCAUGAGCAGACUAAUGGGCACAAAGAAUGAUCCAGAACUUUAUGAUCCUUGUGUGAGAAUAUUUUCUCUCACUGGACAUUGAAUGAACCGAACUUCAUACGUUACCAAAUGCCAAAAUAUUGUAUAAUUCCAGGAAAAUCCCUAACAACUCUAAGCUGCAUAGAUAAAACAUAUUGCAACAGACCUUUCUAGAUGUAAAUAUGACAUAUAUAAUAACAAUAUAAUAAAAAGUAUGGGGAACCAAAUUAUACUAUAUUUCUAUAGCUUCAUGUAAAUCACAGUAGAAAAGAUAUUAUAAAUUCUGACCUGUAGCAAUUCCUCUAUAACAUUCUCCAUUGUAAUAAUCCCAAUCACUUCCUCAUCUAAUGAGUAGCUAGGAAAGGAAUCUGAAUUAACAUCAAGUAUAUUGUCAUGUCGUCCUCGCUCUGACUUCUUUGGCUGUGUUCUUACAUAUUGCUUCUCCAUGUUGCUUCUUUUUAGAGGACUGUGAAUUCCAGAAACACUAGAAUACAAAGGUGAUGCAUUUAAAGUGACACCCAAAUGAUCAGCCAAUGCUACAUGAGAUCCAUCUCCUGCACAAGCAGGAAUUGCUACAUGAAAAAUAUACAUAAUUGUAUGUAGUUCUUUGCAUAAAGGAAUCAAACAUGCAAUUGGUACUUCUAAAAUCAUAAUCGACAUAAACUAUCUUUUGAGAGGAUAAUAUACUUAAACUAUGAAGUAAAGCAUUCUCACAAUUCUUACCAGGAGUACCAUCAGCAGGAACAUUUUUCUUAUACUGGUUCAUUCUGUUCUCUAUUAUAUUGCUUUUGCUUUUAUCACUGGAUGCACCAAUAUCCUUGGUGCGUUUAAUGACCACGGCCAUAUGACUGUGACCUUUCUGAAACUCAUUCAGAAUGUCAUAAAGAGGAAGAUCCUCAUACACCCUGAUACAGAGAUGAUAUAAUGCACAACUUGGUUAGCUAAAAAAUUUCCUAUUAAAACAAUAUAUGAUUCUCAAUUCAAUAUUGCAUGGGGUUAAUUGAGAAAUACUGCUGAUUCUUAGUUACAAUAAAGACAGUUCGAUCCAAUUAGUGUAAUUGAGAAACAGGACCUUAAAUAUUUUUACUUAUCUAAUAUGUCAGAAAAUCAAAGAAAUAUCUUAAUGUACAAAACAUAAAGAAUAUACCUAGGAAUUUUUCUGAUGGUGACAUUUCUAAUGGGAACUUCAUCUUCAGGUCGACAAGUAAUCAAAUUCUUGACCUGAAAGAAAGGCAAAUCAUUAAAUUGGCAAAGUUUCAAGCAUACAAAGAGAGAAUAAGGAGUUACUACUCUCUUAACCUGAAGAAAGACAACUCAUUAAAUUGACAAAGUUUCGAGCAUAUAAGUAGAAAAAUAAGGAGUUAAUACUCCACAAGCGAAUCAUGAGAGAAUUUACAUACAGCAAAGAAAUUAACUACUGAAUUUUUGCUUUGUAUGCAUGGAUAAAUUCACUUAUGAUAUGUUAAUUGAGAGUAAUGCUACACUCAGAACUGUUUUACAUGCAUGCCGGACAAGGGACCAAUAAAUUCCAUAGGUAAGAGAUUAAUAGGUCACUGUGGAGUCCACAUCACAAUUUCAACCAAAUCACAGCCCAGCAGGUUUGACAUUCAUGUCAAAUGUUGGUACAUCAUUCCUCUUUGGUUAAUUUAGACCGUCAAUCAAUCUGUUGUAAAUGGAAACCUCGUGAUCUUGAUAGAAGGAAGUACCAAUAGGAUAUAAAAGAGUAAAUUACGUAUAAAAAAAAAUCAUAAAAAGAACUGCAAGUAGAUAAACAAAAAGUUCAUAAAAUCUUGGUGGGCAAACUUCAAAUGACCAGUCCUACAAAGACUGUCAUUUACAGUUAUUUGUAAAAGAUGCAUCAUAUAAAUUUCACAAAAAAAUAGCAAGGUGCUCACCAAAAUAAGGCCAAUAAUAUUUCUUGGGCUACCCGAAUAAAUUGGCACACGACUGUGCCCUUUUGUCAUUAUCAAACCCAUAGUGUGCCUAGCAAGAUAUAAAUGUCAGCAGCAUAUAGAGAAAAAUCCCAUAGUAUGGAAGCUACUAGAAAUCAGUGAAAGGCAUGUACAUGUCUAGCUUGGAGUUUAUAUCAAGUGCAAAGGUAUCGGCAAUUUCCGUCAUAGAAUCUUUAGCGGUCUUUUGGGUCAAAUCCAAAGCUCCUGUAAUGAUAGUAGUUUCAUCAUGAGUCAACUCUCCACCCUUCCCUGCCUAGCAAGCAAUUUAAAGAAGGUUUACUGUUUGCCCUGCUUCAAAACUACCAGCAUAAAUUUCUAUAUUUCUUUCUCAUAAGUACUGCAAAUAUGAAAAACCUCUCUUUGCUUCUUUCCUGAUUUAACGUUCAUGCAUACAUGUAAGUCGUCCAGGCAUGCAAAUCAGAAAAUUGACAAUACAAAUAGAGUCACCAAAAGAUGAACUUCUACUAAUGUUAAACCUUAACACAAACAACAACGCUUCUCUCAAACAGCACAUUGGCCAGUAGUUCAACCCAUGAGAUCAUUAUAAGAUUAGGCACUGUAGAAAGAAACCAAUUAGAAUAUUUAGCACCAUUUUUUUUUCCCCUCAACAUUCUGUUAAUAUGAAACUAAUGCAAAUGACCUUCUUUCUAAAUAUUCUGUUGCAUUCAUGAAUCAUGAUAUUUUAUUUUCAAACAUGCAAAGUGAGAUUUUGUGUUGUUGUUAAGAGCUAACAUCAGCAUAACAGGAAUGCACAGAGUAGCGAACUUCUUUUUUUACCAACAAAAUGCUUAGCAGAAAUAGUGAAUGCAUAGACGAGAUAUAUAUGAUACCCCCAGAUAUCGUAAAAUGUAGUGUAAAACACUUAUCAUAUUAUCAUAAAUAAUCAAAUAAAUGUACAAUGUAAACCCAACCUCAUUUCCAUGCAUAUCAACCAAUGUCUUCAACUCGGCCCUUCUCAUAAGUGCAAAAUGCCCCUUUCCUAAAAGCCAGUCCAGCAGCUGUCCACAGUAUGAACAUCAAACGAUUGAGAUGUUGAGUCUAUGUCAAUAUAAAGAAAAGGAAGAGAACUUGAAUAAAUUGUCUAAUAAACUAACUAGAUAUUGAGAUAUAGAUUUGCCAAUUCUGGUGCAUCUAAUAAAGAAAGAGAUUUUUUUUUAUUUACUUUUAGAUCUAUUAAUCAAGUUUUAACUGAAUAAAUCUUUAGAUAUAUAACUGUGGCAGCAUGCAAGCUCAUUCUAAUUAAGUCCUGCAUCCAAAUUUUUUUUAGGCUAUUUGAAAAGGUGGUAAAAUGCAGGGUUGAAAUUGAUGCAAUCUACAAUUCAGGAGAUAAUUGAGAUAACAGUAAAAGCCCAAGGUGCUAUGUUGUUAUUUAGCCCCAAAAAACAUUAACCCCCAAAUUGAGAAGGGUGAAAUCUAGUGAAAACCCACUAGACAAGGAACCGGUCUCACGAGUAGUAAAGUAAUAUGCAUCACCUACUUCCACUUCGGGAGCACAUUGCUGUGAAGAAACACGGCUAUAUGAAAUGUGCAGUUCACAAAAAGACUUGUGGUCCGCACAUGCAAAACAACAGGUCAUGUCCAGCUAACAUUAAAAUUUUUCUUUCAGAGCAAGUAUUUCCAGGAUUUGAGCUCUCAUCACUUAAUUUUCUAAGGUACAAAAUGUAACUUUUGCGUAAGGUCAAUAUACAAGGAGCAUGUUACAUGUGCUUAAGAUUUUUCAGCAGUACUUGUAAGGCUGACUUCAUGUUCUUUUGUCAAUGAGUCAGAAUUAGCCCAUGUGAUGGCCCGAUUAGCUCAUUUCACAAUUUUCUUUUCUCUUAUUUUUCCUUUCAAGAAUUCUCUCUAUAAACUAAUCUGUGAACAUCGCGACCCCUGCACGAAAACACACCUCAACGGCAUGAUCGGCCAGCAGAAUAGGCUGCUGGCAAAAUUGUUAUCGGCAUAUAUAUAUAUUAACUCGUAAACCUUAUAUUCGAGCUAAUGAAAGCCUUUUUAUUUAUCACGGAGGCGCCAUAUAUCGCACAGCAAAUUAGCUACACAGUGCAAUUCAAUUUUUAAAAUUAUUCACCAAAUAGAUCAUUACUAGGUUCUCUAACGUCUCGAAAUUAGUUAUUUAUCUUGCCGAUAUUCGCGAAUUCAAAGGGAAGGCACAUAAAGAAACCAUGGGGCAUCCAUUAAACAUAUCCGAUUAAGUCUCUUUUGCCGGUUCGAAAGAAAAUCACAAUACCUACGUUAACAGCAGACAAGAAAUCACCUUACUAAUGGGAUAGGCGACAGGAAAGAAGACGAGAAGAAGAAUCCGGACAACCCCAGCCAGCCGGGCUCCGACGCUCAGCCCGUACCGCGAGCAUACAGCUUGAGGAAUUAUCUACAACAACACAAUCAAACAAGAAAAGAGAUUCAUAUCGCCCUUCCGGCACCAUCUCAUCUCAAAAGGCGACGGAACGCGAUGUUCAAGCGGAAUCACCUCACCGAACGCAAGGAUAAGCGUCACGGAGAUCAGGAUCGCCCCCCACGCCGGCAGCAGAGCGUCGAGGAAUAUCGGCAGCGCCUGCGCAGCAAGAAGAAAGGAAAAAUCAAUCCACGACAGGAUCGAUCGUUAAUUAAAUCGUCACGAUCAGGAAGCUAGAGACCUCACCUCCAUGGCGAGGGAGUUGCCGAUGAGGAGGGUGCAGAGGAGCAGGUGCUGGUUCUUGACCACGGGGAGAAUCUUGGCUAGUAUUAAGCAGCAGAGAGAGAGAGAGAGAGAGAGAGAGGGGGUAAGAGAAAGAGAAAGAGAAAGAGAAAAAGAAAGAAAGGUGGAAGGUAGGAGGAGGAGGGGAGGAGAGGAGAGGAGAGGGGGUGGAGGAGGGAACCGGCAUUGAUUUGGUCGGUAGGGGUUCCGGCCUUGCGGAGGACCUCGAGGUCGACGAGGCUGAGGGACAUGAGGCCGAGGGUGAGGCCCGACAUGAGCCCCGCGAACAUCACCAGCCCCAGGCACACCAUCAGGUACACCCAGAACAUGCCCCCGCAGCAUGACUCCUGCGCCGACAUCAAAACUUCUCCCACACACCAAAAGAGAAACAGAGAGCAGAAGAGGAGAAGGGGGAGGAGGAGUAUGGCGGACUGCUCUUGGAGGAGGUGCUUUGAGGCCGUGGCAAUAAAGUGGGGUGCCGACUGCCGAAUGCCCCUUUUUUAGUUUUCCUUUCCCCUUUUUUCCCCCACUUUUUAACGGUUGGGUGCGUUGAUUGUGUCCGUCCUUGUUUGCGCUGUGAAUGCUUCGACUCUCGGAGAACGCAGCACAGCAGCAGGUAUAGGUAUGAAACGCGCCGCCGUGGCGAUUUUUCCUCGUGCUUCUGACUGCAUGCUCUCUGUUUUCUGGAUCAGUCUUUCGGAUUUUUACGCAAACCUUUAACGUAUGGACCUGUUUCAGUCAAAAGAAAUGUCAAAUCUACAGUAAAAAUAUAUAUAUAUAUUAUAUAAUUUUUAUAAUUUUUAACUUGAUGAUUUUAGAAGUUUAAUAAAUCUAUUUAGUUUUUAAUUUAAAAAAAGAGUGAUAAAACAAGUGUAAUAAAUAUAGUCUUUAGAUAGGUAAAUUAUAGAUUACAACUCAAGUGAAAGCAGAUCGAGCAUUGCUGAAUUAUACUCAUUGCAGAUUUGCAGCGGAGUAAAUUCUGAGUCUGAGGCUCCACUUGUUAUUAUAUUUAUUUGUUCAUAAUAUUUAUAAUUCUUCUAUAAAGUGCUGGAUUGAUUUAGGGCUAAUCCAAAAUAGAAAAAGCUUUGAAAACCUACUUAUUAAAGCUAAUCCGAAAUAGAAAAAGCUUCGAAAACCUACUUAUAUUAACACUUCGAUCUCCAUCCUAUACAAACCACAUUUGGGCUGGUCGCGUUGGUCAUCCUCUAAUCCGUGGCAGUUGUCAUCCCCAGUGAGAAAUAAUUAUAUAUUAAUCACAGAUGAUAAAAUCAACUUAGGUAAAGGUGGUCGUAAUUAAUAAUUGCUUGAUUGCAAAGCAAAGUAGGUUUAUAGUCACAUCUUUUAUGACCUGGACUUUGCAGUCACAUUUACCUUACAUGUAAUAGGUGAUGAAUUUUUUAAGCAGGUCAAAUCCAAUUUACCGAACAAGAAACUUUAGAAACGUGUAGGUAAAGUGUGGAAAACAUUCCAUAUAUACUACUGUUGUUGUUAAGAUUUAACAGGCGAGGAAGAUUAUUAUCAUACUUAGUUGAUAAAUAUAAGCGUUUGCUGAUACAUAUUUCUUUUAUGUGGGACGUCGCACAUUCUAAGUUCUCAACCUUUAACACUACUGCCGAUCAAUCAAACACUAAAUGUGCCCAAAAAAUUACGCGAUUUAGCGGUGUUUUGGAUUUACUAUGACCUACUAGAUCAGCUAGUUGGUAUCUUACAUAUGGAACAAUUGGCUUUUGGUUCAAAUCACAAUUUAAGCAUGAUUUAGAAUGUGUGUGUGAAUACCUGUGAAUUUAAUUACUGAUAAAACAACAAGGUAGAGGAAAAAGAAAUAAACACCUUUGUUUGUGUUUUCCUUGUUAUAUUAACUUGUUGAAAACCUAAUUUUGAGUGUUGCCUUCGCCUCAUAUGUAUCAUUGCCAUGAGAUUAGAUUAAUAAUAAAAUACUUCAAAUUAGCUCACUUGUGAACUGGAUACAAGUCAAGCAGUAUAUUAAUCAACCAGAUUCCGACCCAACACGACAACACCAAUCGUCUCAAGGGCUACAAAGUUUAACUAAUCAGCAAAAUUAAUUAAAUCUAACACUCUAAUUAAGUCAACUAGUUAGGUACCAAACUCCUAGAACCUUCGAUAUGCAAACCGUAGGGAAAACCAAUCCUGAUUAUAUUCAUUAAUCACUCCACAAUUCAUGGCUUAGAAACUAUAUAACACAUACACAACCACCCCGGGCAUGCAAUGCUCUCUCCUCUCAAAUUAUUAAUUUCCGCUUAUGGUACGUAAUAGAUUUAAUAUUGCUGUUUUAGUUGUCACCUACACCUUAAUUAAUAUAAUAUGGGUGCAUGUGAACUUACGAAAUCAACUAAAUGAAUAUACAUGGCUCUUUGUUUCUCGAGGGGUUUUAAUAAGUAACAACCCUUUAGGAAGUGUUAUCCUGAGAAGGUAUAUAUAUUCUUGUGCUUGAGGGGAUGCAGCUAUAUAUUUUAUGAAUAUACUAGUAUGGUAAUUCGUGCAAUAUGACGGGUAUAUAAUUAGAGAAAAAAUAAAAAACGAUGAUAAAGGGUGAGAUUUUUCUUGUCGAUGAAGAAAAUUGAAGGAAAAGGAAGAAGAACAGUUGGCUCAAUGCAGAGGUGUAACCUGGUUCGAUUCAAACUAAAAAAAAAGGAUGAUCUGAUUCGAUUCAAAUAAAGAAAGAGAGAAAUCAGAUUUAUUUGAAGCAAAGAAAGAGAAAAACAUAUAGAAGCAGACUUGAGCCGGUUCAGGAGAGCCCACAUUUAAUAAUAAUUAAUUCGGUUCAAGUAAAGAAAAAAAAAAUUCAGCCUGAUUCAAGCAAAGAAAGAAGAAAAUAUGUGGAGGAUCUGAACCGAUUUUAGUUAGAACUCACACUAAACAAUAAAGGACAUGUUGUCAUAUGGUAAAUUUAAGAGGAAUAAUAUAUAGGUAUAGAUAUUUUAUGCAUGCAUGCUAAUGGGUAAUGCUGCGCCCAAUGAAGGUGGUGGGCUUGUUGAUGAGGCUAAUUCGCAUAUUAUUCCCGCAGAAUAAUUCGAGUAUUCUAUCUGAAAGGUAGUGAAAGGGAAAAGAGAUUCAGGAAAGAAAUUUUUCCAUGAACCGCGUUCCCCAAUCAUGCAUGGACCACAAAAUGAUGGGUCUCUAACACUUUUAGAAGCUAGUUUAAACUCAUAAAUAACAGUAUAUAUUGACCACAUGUAAUGGUACAAUACAAAGAGCGUCCAAAUUGGCGUAGUUGUUGUUCCGCUAGAAAUUAAAUUUGAUGAGAGUGAUCAUAUAUUGGUCUUGCCAUCAAUUAUUAUAACGCCAAAGAGAUUCACUAUUUUGUUAAUUAUAGGCUAGCUUUUGAAUCCUUCUACUAAAGUUGACUUUCAUACCAAAUUAUUUAUUUUUGAGAAUUUAAGCUCAUGAAAAACUACGAGAUUUUCUCUCAAUGUCUUCAUGAUCGUGAGAAAUGACAAAAGCUAAUAUUUCUACUCUUAAAAAGUUAGAUUUACGGUUGAAUUAUAGCUUCCUUCUUAAAGAAUAAUGAAGAUGGGAUAGUGGAUAGACGAUCACUUCACUCAGUCCACGACUAAAAUGGUGAACUAGGUGUAAACAAUACGUACAUAAUUCUUUUCUCAAAAAAAAAUACGUACAUAAUUCCUCAAAUAAUGAAGGGCUAAAAAUAAGAGAUGAAUGCUUCAAUACAUCAGGUAAAAUAAAUCUAACCGUUCAUAUUUUAAGGGCGAGAUUGACUUUUGCAUAGUGAUUACAUGCUCAAUAGGUUACCAUUCGUAAAGAUAAUAUGAAAAAAAAAUACAAACUAAUUACCAAAUUUGAUCAACCUUAUACAAAUAUUUAUUUCCUUAUUUAAUUUUGUUACUUACCAAAUUAGAUAGUGCUAAUUUGAUAAGUAAUAAACCUUUAUAAUUUGAAUUUAAAAUUCAAUUUGAGCUUAAACUUUAUAAUUGUGUACAUUAAAUUUAAUUUUAAUUUUAAUUUUUAUUUUCAGAAUGAAAAAAUUUAUGUUUAAAUGAAUAGUAUAUUUCAAUUCAAAUUGUUAAUUUGAUAUAUUAAAAUGACACGAAAUUUCAAAUAUAUUAAUUUAAUUUAAAUUAUAAAUUAUGCUGUAUUUAUAANUUUAUAUUAUAGUUAAAAAAAUAAAAUUUGUUAACUAUUUAAACUAAAUGAUCCUAAAGCAAAAAAGAAAAAGAGGAGCGGCGAGAAAGAAGAAAUUGCGGCCUAUGUGUAGGAAAAUAUCGCGGUCCAUGAGGCUGCACUCAGCCUCGUGGACUGUGUGGAGUGGGAGGUCCACGGUGGACCUCUCGCUCCACUGCCCUUUUUGUGUGUGUGCGUUGUGUGUGUGUGUAUAUAUAUAUAUAUCCAAUUUUAUUUUUAGAUUUUAUAAGAAUUAUAAUUAUUUAUGCAUGAUAAUAGCAUAAAUCUAAAAAAAAUUUAAUUAAAUAAACGAAUUUUUAUUCCGAAUUUUUAAAUGAUAAACGUAAAAUUUUCGUAUAAAUCGCGUAUACGAAUUAUUGGCAAAUCUAAUUUUUAAACCGUAUUUUUCAACGAACUUAAAAAUUAAGAUACGAAUUUUAUUCGUAUUUUAUCCGUAUCGAAUUUUAGUCGUAUUCGAAUUAACUAACUAUGGUUUAAAGACAUGAGGUUUAAUUUAGAAAAGAUAAUACUACAAAGAUGGAAUAUUGGAGGAUAAGAAUGAAAGAGGUGGAAUAUUCUAAAUUUAUAAAAAUGGCAUGUUAUGAGGAUGAAAAUUUAUCAAAAUACCCUCAUUGCAAACUCUAUGUAAUAAAAAAAAAUUUUGCCCUUAUUUAAGUGGUGACCGGUACCUAUACCCCCAAGUGCCGAUCACCCUUUUUUAAUAGGUCUAUCGUUAAUUUGUUACCGUCCAUUUAAAAAACUUUAAUGAUUGAGAUUUGUUCGGUACACAGGAGCAUUGCUCAAAAUAAAAAAAGAUUAGGAGAGGAGCCAAUGGAAUCCUUAUCACAUAGGAUAUCGGUGGGCCAAUUGGGUCAGUUGUUGGGGUUUGCAUUACCGAAUAUCACAGCCAUUUUGUUUGUUGGCAAGUUUGACUGAAAAGUUUGGUAUCUUAUAUUUUUAACUAAUGGUGUUUUUUUUUUUUUUUUUUGAGAGAUAGAUAGCAUGCUAUCCGCUUUGUUUAAUUUAUUUAAAAAUAAAUUUAGCUGAAAAUGUGAAUCAAUUAGGAUUCGAACUUAAAAGUUCGGAUACCAACCACCAAGUCCUUUGCCACUUGCGCUAGGGACGGUCGGUUAACCAAUGGUGUCAUUAUGUGCGGUUUUUGGUGACCUUCAAUGCGACCGCAACCGCAAGGUCGGUUUCAGCGAACCCAUCUACUGGUCGGCAGCACCAAAUCGCACCAAAUUCUUUUUUGUUUCCCGGUCCAAGCUUAUACUGGUCAGGUUCAACCAGGGAAGGAACUAAUUAAUCAAAUACCAAAAUUAUGGGCCACGGUGCUUGUUUAGUUCAGCUUCUAACAAGCAUAAAAAUUUAAGAAUUUUGUUGUGGGAGGAAGUAAUAAAAAAAGAAUAAGACUCUGAGAUCCAUGAACAAAAGCAACAAACAAUCGAAUCUGUUGUAAAUCUAAGCCAUUAAAAAACUUUCGUAUAGAGUUUUUUCUCAUAGAACAACAGCGACACUUUAUUAAACAUACUAGGCAUAAUUUGAGAAGGAUGGUUAGAGAACUUGUGAUCACAGCUUCAUACAAACCUGUAAAUAAGUUGUGUUACGGCAUCUAAUUUUCCUUUCCACUUAAUUCCGAUUCUAUUCCUUGCAUGGUGCCAUUUUUGGUGCUCGAUAUGAUGUAUAAUAGAAAAUUUUGUAUCCUUUUAGUCAAAAAGAACCUAAUUUUUGUUGUCAGUGUGUAUGUUUGCAGUGUCAGGUCAUAAUCUAAGACAAAAGGGAAAAUCUAAAUAUAUCUGCCAUAUGCUGAUCGCCACGAGAGUGAUGUUUUAAGUGCUUAAUAAGAGAUUGUGAGCACUAUUAACAUGAUAAAACAAGUAAGAUACAAUUAAAAUAUUCAAAAAGUUCUAUUCCAAUUUAAUUCCGUGUAUAUAUUUUUGUAGUAGUUUAUCUUUGUUCAGCUUAUGCAGAUUCCUAAUUCGAGAGUUUUAGCAUUUGUGAGUAAAGGAAUACUCUUGCUUGAAGUCACCAAAGUCCUUGGUGUCAAAUUCCACUAGUUCAAAACAUUUUAAAGUUCAAAAUUGCAUUAUCAGAGACCACCAAUAUAAAAUGCACAUCAGUUUCCCACAAAGCUCAAAGAGUUAUGCCCCCCAAAAUGAACAAGGACAACUUAGCCGAGUAGAUCGAGAUGGAGAUGGGAAAGUUUUUGUCAUCUUUUUUGGUUAAAAAACUUUGGUUUUUUCUUUUUCUGGAUUUUUUUUUUUUGUUUGUUUUUUGGAAGAAAAAGGUUGCAUACAACUCAGUUAAAAAUGUGAAAUAGUUAGGCUUUGAAUUUGAGAUUUUGAGUAUCAAUCAUCAAGCUUUUAGCCAGCUGCGUUAAGUGAGAUCGCCGGUCGACAAAAAUUCGGCUUAAUUAUUAGGGUUAAAAAGUUUCGCUACUAAGAAAAACCAUUCAUCGCCUACACCAUAACAUGAAAAUUCCAACUAUAACGCUUCUACUAAAAGCAAGAAAGAGCAAUAUUAAAAGUUUUUUUUUUUUUUUUUUUUUUGGCUAUCUAUGGUGAAGGAAAAUGGAGCACUACUUCCACUAUAACAUGGAAUUCCAUUCGGAAGUGCUAAUAAUGCAGAUAUUUUACUGUAAUAAUAAAACCCACUUCUUUUGGGUCUGUGAGCAUGCCCCAAAUCCCAAAAGUGAAAUGCUUUAUUUUUCUCAACUUUUGAUUGCUCCAAAAAAGUAAAAGACAAAAAAAAAACAGAGGAAUGCCUAUCUAUCUAUACACGCAUAAACCAGCUUUACAUUUUGCAUCUUUAUUUAAAUUGUAAGAGUGUAAAAUUUAUAUCUAUAUAUAAAUAUAAAAGCAGUAUUCUUUAAUUUCUUAUCCGGCCCGGCCUGUUUGUAGUCCUAGCCCAUUUGGCCCAGUCUGGAUUUGACCGGAUUGGGAGAAAUGCAUAAUGAAAUAGGCCGGACCUACUGGGGCGAAGGUGCGAGAUUAGCACUAGCAAUUUAUUGAGCCCAAAUCACCAGCUCGAAGCUACUACUAGCAUACUUUAGUCUUUAUUAUAUAAUAAUAAUAACAAUAACUCGGCUUCUAAGUUAAUUGUUCAAAAACAAUAUUUGGUAUUGAAAUUUGGCUAUUGUAACUCACAAGGAAUUCAAAUUUACCGAGACAAAAUACGUGAGCAGUUGCAUUGUUACCAUGAGAAUGAUAGUUUAUUACUGUUUUAGCAUGUAUUAUAUGACAAUUCUACGGGUGAGUAACUGAGUACAUGCCUGGAGCUGUGGAGCAGCAGCUGAUAUGCUUUCUUUUUCCCCUUUCCUUAACAGCUAACCCCAAUUAAGUUCUGUACUUUCUGUGCCGUCCUUCUCUCGCCUCCCCCUCGAAGUUUUCCAGAAAUUUCACACUGCGGCCAUCUUCUUUUAGAAAGAUUCUUGCAGUCCUCCCCUGCAGCUCAAAAGUUAUGUAGACUGGAAAAUAAAACAAAGAAGAUCGAACCCACAAAAAAAAAAAAGAAAAAAAAAUGGGGUCUCUCCUGGGCGACUGGCCUUCCUACGACCCUCACAACUUCAGCCAACUCCGCCCCGCCGAUCCCUCCGCUCAACCCUCCGUAAGAAUUUAGAAUGUUGUCUCUGCAUCUUCUUUUUCACAUUCAAAAACCCUUUUCUUUUUUUUCUUUUCUUUUUUUUUUUGCUUUUUUGGCUUUUUAAUUCUUCUCCCUUUCAGAACCCAUCUCUUCGACUUCUAGAUAAUUCUGAUAUGCAGGUCCUGCUGAAAAGCAAGAUACAAAUUUCGUAAGCAAUAGAGCAGAUUAAAUGUGGCAGAUAGCUUUAGGAUCUGUUCAGAAGCUGCAAAAUAAAAUGUGAUUUUUGUUGUUGUUGUUGUUGUUGUUGAUGUUGAAUUUAGGGGCUACAGAAAUGGAGCAAUUCCUGGUCACUAGUUGUUGGUUAAUAUGAUUUCUUGUUCUUAAAGGGGAGGAAAUAAUAUGGAGUGCUUCUGUUAACAUCUCAUUAGUGGCAAAAAACCUGAAGGAGUUUUCCUUUUGUUCGGUCCUGAAACAAAUUUGUUGCUUCUUUUCAGAAACUGACACCUGCAACGUAUCAUCCCACUCACAACCGGACUCUUCCGCCUCCGAAUCAAGGUACUGCUGCAUGAUCUAAAUGCCACUUCUGUGUGAUGGUCGGUUGCGCCAGGUUUCGCUACUGAGGCGUGCUUCGGUAGUUUUCUUUCACGGAGAUCGUAUUUGUAAGAUCUAGGAUGAAAUGUAUUCCACGGGAAAUGCGUUAUAUUGGUCGGUUGGCCUACUCGCAAAUAGAUUAAUCUAGUAUUCUAAACAAUUUUCAUAGGUGAAUGUUUGUUGUUAAUGUUGGGAGUGUACUUACUUAAGGAGUAUGAGUAAAUUAGUUCACAGCUAUAGCAUUUGUUUUAGCAAGAAUAACUAGACAAAGUGCUAUCCAAGUAUCGAGAACAAUACUCUUUAACUUUUGAAAUUUU
rnacentral:lncRNA from 1 species